rnacentral:lncRNA from 1 species
UGCUGCUCACCAUCGCCGUCGCCUCCGUCGUCGUCUUCGUGCGACCCGUCGCGCUCUUCUUCGUCUCCUCCCCCGCAGGCUUCGGGCUCUACAUCUUCCUCAUCAUCCUCCCGUUCAUCGGUACGUCCCCUUACGUUAUACGAUGCGCGCACAGACUCAAAUCAAUUCUUCGUUACUCUGCUCUGUUUCAUUCGACGUGACUGACGCUCACCGUGUCCGUGUGUUUGGAACCGCAGUGCUGUGUCCUCUGUACUACUACUACCAGCGGCACCCGGUGAACCUGCUGCUGCUGGCGCUGUUCACGGUGGCCAUCAGCUUCGCGGUAGGGCUCACCUGCGCCUUCACCAAGGGGGAGGUGAUCCUGGAGUCGGCGAUCCUGACGGCGGUGGUGGUGGUGAGCCUGACGGCGUACACGUUCUGGGCGGCUAGGCGCGGGCACGACUUCAGCUUCCUGGGCCCGUUCCUGUUCGCGGCGGUGAUGAUCCUCAUGGUGUUCGCGCUCAUCCAGGCCUUCUUCCCGCUGGGCCGCAUCUCGCUCAUGGUCUACGGCGGGCUGGCGGCGCUCGUCUUCUGCGGCUACAUCAUCUACGACACCGACAACCUCAUCAAGCGCUACUCCUACGACGAGUACGUCUGGGCCGCCGUCGCGCUCUACCUCGACGUCAUCAACCUCUUCCUCUCCCUGCUCACCCUCUUCAGGGCAUCCGAUUCCUGAAGUGCCUGCAUCUCCUGCCGUAGCGUAGCGUAGCCACUCGUCGUAUCCUACUCCAGUAAUCCUGCCCCUGCCGUUACAUAACGAAUGUGAUUUGCUUGUGUGUGAAACAAUUUAUUGUAAAUUAGUUUUGACUUGUUUUACAUAAUUUGGUCUAUGUAACUUUGUAGUCUGCCAAUAUCAAGAUUGCUGAAUGGAAUGAAAUUCAGGAGCUGCUACUGCUAGCUUGGGCUCUGUUUUAGCUGCCGCGCCUGCCUCCGGUAAAAUGUUCUGCAAGUUCUCCUGGCAUCCAUCGUCUUAUCUUGCGGUUUGGGCGUGUUGUCGUCGAUGCUGCUGCGGGGUGAGGAAGCCAGGGACAGAAUCAUGUGCUCCUGCGUUCAUCGGCGUGUGCGCUUGGGCCAUCAGCCUCAGCCCAUGACUGUGGUUCCGAUUCUGUCGAGCGAGAUCGAACUACCGUGGGGCACGUUCAGUACCUGGCAUGUGUCGUUCGUAAAAUACUGUACUGCGUACAGGGUACUCGCGUCCUACGUACAGGGUACUCGUACGAUCGUACUUAAUGUACAGGGGAGAUUGUAGUAUUGUAUAGUCGUGCGGUUGAGAUAAUAUUGCAGUGGAGGUGAGUAAAUUAAAUUACACAUACCCAGUGCGGCUAGGAGUACCAUAUUUGCAUUUUACACACAGGGAUCAACAAUUUUGAGUCCCCACAAAAAAAAAACCAAUACUUUUGAGUCGAGUUGUGACUCUACAUAUGAGCUGGUGGGCAUGGACUUUUUUUUUGAGGGGGUGGGCAUGGACUUUACUCAGUACAAUUAUGAGUCAGCCGUAGGAGACGGUACCAUUAAGUGGCGGGUUCUUGUUACAGCUAUUACAGAUAUUUGAAUCUUGUCAAGAAGUAUAGCAUGGAGGAGAUUAUAAAGGGGAACAUGUCGGGUUCUUGUUACAGCUAUUACAGAUCUUUGAAUCUUGUCAAGAAGUAUAGCAUGGAGGAGAUUAUAAAGGGGAGAUGGUGUCUGAUGUGCGCAGCCAGACUUGUAAGACCAACACCUGCCAUACUCCUGUCAAGCAUUGGCCUCCGCCACCGGCAGGAUGGGUGGCGCUUUCUGUGGACAGAUCCUUCUCGAUUAAGGAUGGGUGGCGCUUUCUGUUGACGGAUCCUUCUUGGUUAAGGAUGGGUGGCGCUUUCUGUGGACAGAUCCUUCUCGCACGAUGGGUGCGCAUAGUGAGAAUGGUACGUUUGUUAGAGUACGUAAUGGGCCUAACGGGUCCGUUAGUCUUAGGGUUAAUUAGAGAUAGGAUCGCUUACUUAGGGGUCAAGUAAGCCUUGUUUGGAAGUCAAGUAAACCUCUCUAUAUAAAGAGAGGAGAUGUAUUAAUCUAAUCAAGCAAGAAUUAAGAAGGAAAUCCCUUUCCUCUUGCCCGGCCGUGGGCAGAAAGGCCCCCGGCCGGCCCUCUCGCGCCCUCCUUCUAGUAGCGCCAUAACAAUUUGGUAUCAGGUAGCUUAGUUUCGAUCAUGUCUUCACCGCCGCCCACCCCGUCGCUUCCGCCGCCGACCGUCACCACCGCGCCGCUGGCCAUCUACACCGCGCCGCCACCCUCCCUGUCCGCGCCGCUGGUCGCAUCCUUCGCCGCCGCCACCCCUCAGAUGCCGGCGCCCUCCAUCGCACCAGCCGCUGGCUACACCUCGGAGGAGAUCACCGGGGUCCUCAACGACCUCGUCACAGCCGUCCAAGGGAUCCGGCUGUACCUGGCCAGCCGCUACGGGCCGCCGCCGGCCCUGCCGUGGUACUCGCCGCAUCCAGGGGCCUCCGCGGCUUUCGCUGGGAUGUUGCAGCCCCAGCUGCAGCUGCCGCCGCUGCCCGCUGCCGCACCGCGGUGGCCGUAGUGGCCGGCGUCGGCUCCUGCCGCGCCUCCAGUGCCCAUCGCCGCCCCCGCGCCGUUGUGGCUGCCGUGGCAGCCACCGCAGCAGCAGCUGCAGCUGCAGCUGCCAUCCAUCGCCACCAUCGCCCAGCCCUGGCUACAGUGGCAGCCGCCGCUCCUGGCGGCCUCCGCCGCGCCCGGCACUCCGUUGCAACAACCGCCGCUGCUGCCCGGUGCACCACCGCAGCAGCCGCUGCAGCCACCGCCGGUUAGCUCCGGCCCCGCAUCGACCGCGCCGGCGGGAGUCCCGCUCCACCAAGUCCAGUCCUCGCCGUCGCCGUUACCGCUUCCGUCUUGGAUCGCUACCCGUCACGUGUCGACGGCGGUGAGGCUGCAGGCUGCUGCGCGCGGCCUCCGAGCGCGUCGGCGUGUGCGGGAGAUGCGUGGUCUACAGCUGCCGCUCCUCCAAGUUGCCCUUCGCUGCGCAAAGGACCUCGAUCCCNNNNNNNNNNNNNNNNNNNNNNNNNNNNNNNNNNNNNNNNNNNNNNNNNNNNNNNNNNNNNNNNNNNNNNNNNNNNNNNNNNNNNNNNNNNNNNNNNNNNNNNNNNNNNNNNNNNNNNNNNNNNNNNNNNNNNNNNNNNNNNNNNNNNNNNNNNNNNNNNNNNNNNNNNNNNNNNNNNNNNNNNNNNNNNNNNNNNNNNNNNNNNNNNNNNNNNNNNNNNNNNNNNNNNNNNNNNNNNNNNNNNNNNNNNNNNNNNNNNNNNNNNNNNNNNNNNNNNNNNNNNNNNNNNNNNNNNNNNNNNNNNNNNNNNNNNNNNNNNNNNNNNNNNNNNNNNNNNNNNNNNNNNNNNNNNNNNNNNNUCGGGUAGGGGGUCCCGAACUGUGCGUCUAGGCGGAUGGUAACAUGAGACGAGGGACACGAUGUUUUUACCCGGGUUCGGGCCCUCUUGAUGGAGGUAAAACCCUACGUCCUGCUUGAUUAAUAUUGAUGAUGUGGGUUACAAGAGUAGAUCUACCACGAGAUCAAGGAUGCUAAACCCUAGGAGCUAGCCUAUGGUAUGAUUGUUGUUCGUCCUAUGGACUAAAGCCAUCCGAUUUAUAUAGACACCGGAGAGGGCUAGGGUUACACAGAGUCAGUUACAAUGGUAGGAGAUCUACAUAUCCGUAUCGCCAAGCUUGCUUUCCACGCCAAGGAAAGUCCCAUCCGGACACGGGACGAAGUCUUCAAUCUUGUAUCUUCAUAGUCUUGGAGUCCGGCAGAUGAUGGUAGUUCAGCUAUCCGGAUACCCUCUAGUCCGGGACUCCCUCAGUAGCCCCUGAACCAGGCUUCAAUGACGACGAGUCCGGCGCGCAUAUUGUCUUCGGCAUUACAAGGCGGGUUCCUCCUCCGAAUAAUUUAUAGAAGAUCGUGAACACCAGGAUAGUGUCUGGCUCUGCAAAAAUAAAUUCCACAUACCACCGUAGAGAGAAUAAUAUUACACAAGAUCAAUCUGCUGACGUAUUCUGCGGCGUGACGUCAGACCACUUCCAAGCCUUUACUCGAAUUGUUUUUAUUGUUCCACCUCAGCGCGUUUAGCGAGGCGGUUUCCUUGGCACGUCUUGUCGAAGUAGAGAUAGUGUUCCCCUUAUUCCGGGAUUCCCAUCAGUACGGACAUGGGUAACCCAACCGCGCCAUUGAUUGCGGUGCUUGGGGGAUAAGCGAGUUUUAUCAGGCCGGUGGGGAUGCAUGUUUCUGUCCGCCCAUAUAAGGGGAUAAAGAUCCAACCCUUUUACCGGCGCCUUCUUCCUCCUUGGCUUAUCCAUCUCUGUGAACCCGAGCUCCAGCGCCCAAGCCCGCACAUCUCGCCUCAACCUUCUCCAACUAUGCCCGGAGCAGGAGGCAAGUGGAUGGCCUCCUCCGUCACGGAGGGGCAGAUCCAGAAGUUGCGCGACGCCGGAUACUUGUCCAGCGACAUCGCGCACCGGCUCCCCAUCGAGGGAGAGCUCAUCCCCACCCCCAAGCCCCAUGAGAGGGUAGUAUUUCUUCCCCAUUUCCUCCGCAGACUGGGCUUCCCGCUCCAUCCCUUUGUCCAGGGGCUCAUGUUCUACUACGGCCUGGAUUUCCAUGAUCUGGCCCCGAAUUUCAUCCUCAACAUUUCGGCGUUUAUCGUCGUGUGUGAGGCCUUCCUCUGCAUCCAGCCCCACUUCGGCUUGUGGCUCAAGACCUUCAGUGUCAAGCUGAAGGUUGUGAAGGGCAGCCAAGCGGAGUGCGGAGGCGCCAUGGUGGGCAGGAUGUCCCACGUUACAUGGCUGGAGGGCACUUUUGUGGAAACCAUCAAGGGGUGGCAAUCGGGGUGGUUCUACAUCACCGAGCCGCGUGACCCCGAAUGGGCAGUGGCCCCCGAAUUCAGAUCUGGCAUCCCCACACGGCUCACCUCCUGGAAAGAGAGCGACCGGAUUUGGGGUGAUUCGGAGGAGCUGACCGGACUCCAAACCUGCGUCCAAAAGCUGGUGGACAAGAAGCUCAAGCUCGUCAACAUAGUCCAGGUCAUGCUUAUCCGCCAGAUUCUCCCGUGUCAACGAUGGGGCUUCAACAUGUGGGAGUUCGAUCCGGCGCAGCACCAGACUUUGAAUGGGCUCUUCGACACUACGUACGAAGAGGUCUGGAAGGUGCUGUUCAAAGGCACCGAGGCUCCCGCAUCCGCUACCGAAGGUCACGGAUUCAUCUUGGAGCGUCCAGCUGAUGAGGUAAGUUAUUUUGUCCUUUAAGGGACGCUUGUCUUCCAUAGUUUGACUCUAUGCGGGAUCUAAACUCCCUUUCCUUUGAUAGGACUGGCUGAAGAAGGCCGCACAGGCUAUCUGUCCGGCCCCAUUGCCAGAGGACCCAGCGGACGCCCGCCUAACGGGGCUGCUGGCUCCAGCACCCCACGUGGUGCCGGAGAAGAAGGCCAAGAAGAAGGCCACGGGGACUCGAAAGAGUUCCCGUUUUCAGGUGCUAUCGGAUGAUGAAUCCGAGGCCGACUCCUCCCACCAAGGCGAGGAGGAGAAGAAUAAAGCCUCUCCCCCAGUGGGGGGAGGGAAGAAAAGGAAGGCCUCCCUAACAAGGGAGGCCGAAGGGUCCAAGAAGGGAAAAACUCUUCCCCCGGACUGUUCUGCCAACGCCAGUGACGACGACAAGGACUGGCCUCCAAGGGCCAAGCCUCUGGCGAGAUCGUAAGUAUCCGGACUCCCGAAUAACUUCAAGGUUUUUAUUUUCCGCCACAUAAUGUCUUUCUAAUGCCUCAUACAACCCUGCAGUCCGCCUAAGGAUGAUUUUCCCAGUUCAUCGAGCGGGUCCUUAGGUGCGUCGGAUAUGGAUUCUCUUCCGACUACCUCCACCCCCCGUGACGCGGACGAUGCCGGGGUGGGAUCCCAGGAAGGGACCCACCAGGAGGAGAGGGCCCUAGAGGUGUCGCAGGACAACCUCCCGGACUUUGCACCGGACUCGGUCCCGGAACCCACAGUGGCUCCGGAGUCCGGCGGGCGACCCCUUCACAAGAAGGGCAAGACCGUGACGCCGGCUGCCUCCGUCCAACCGGAGGUGCCGGAUAAUUUGCUGGAGGCGCUCAAUGGCGCCUCCAUCAAAGAGGAACACCGCACUAUUAUGAGUGCGGUGAUUCAGAAGGUGCAGCUCUCCAAGAGCGGGCUGACCGAAGCCUGCAACAGCCUUCUAACAGGCUUUGAGGUAAGAAUUUCAAUAUGUAUAAAAUGGUACCACAUAGACAGUAGCCCCUGAUGCUCGGUUCGGUGUUCGUAAAGAAAAGCCGGACUGAGGAUCUUAAAAAAGAUAUACGCAGGAGUCAUAAAAAAUAUGUCAAUGUGGGAUUGCAGGCUGCACUGCUGACCUCUGCCGCAUUGACUGCGGAGGUCGAUACUUUGAAGAAGAACCUCGAGCGGUCCGAGAACGAGCUCGGCCAUGCCAAGAAGCAGCUCGAGGUCAAGGAAGGUGAGUAGCACCAUAUUAAAAUUGCACCUUACAGAAAAGGAUUUUGGUUGCAAAAAGAAUAACGAGGAUAACGUGGGUAUUGCAGGGGCCAUGAACGAGGUGGUGACCCUGAAAGAGGCGGUGGCCGCGGCCGAACGCAAUGCAGCUGCGGAGCGCACCGAGCGAGAGAAACAGGAGGCGCGGGUGGCGGAGGUACAGCAAGAGCUCCAGGAUCUCAUGAAGAAACACGAGAGCCUGGAGCGUGACUCAAAGAGCGAGAGUCUGAGCUUGCAACGGCUCUUGAGAGUGCCAAAGCCGCUAAGGCCGAAGCCUACAAGGCCCUCCAGGAGAUAGAGGCGGUGAAGAAAGUAGCAGCGGGUAAGGCAUUUUUCAUGCAAAGUAAGCAUGUGAGUGUUAAUUACCUGUCGCUUACCCGAAUUCGGAGCUCUCCAGGAGCGUUCGCAGAUCUUCCCCGCAGCGUGUCCGAUGCUGCCGCAUUCUACCGGGCCGAGGAGGGGAGCUCAAUGGAGAAGGUCUUCUGGUCUUAGUAUGCUGAGGCCGGACAUCUGGUGCCCCUUAGCGACCAGCUGAAGCAGCUGGUCGAGAUCCACAAGGCGGCCGAACAGGCCAUGAAGGGCCUCAUAGUUCGGCUGUGGCCUAAGGAGGCUAUGCCUGGGAGCUACUUCGGCCUGGUGCGGCGGCUGGUGGACGCGUGCCCGUGGGUUGAAGUUAUCAAGCACUCCGCCUGUAUCGGGGGUGCGCGUCGGGCCCUUGCCCGCGCAAAGGUGCACUGGGGCAAGAUGGAUGCCCAGAAGCUUGUGACGGACCCCCCACCAGAGGGCAAGGAGCAUCGCACGCCCGAGAUGUAUUAUAGGAGUGUGCUGAAGGGCGCCCGCAUUAUUGCGGGUGAGUGCUCGAAAGAAGAAGUUUUUCAGUAGACUCGCGUUUUGUUAUCCUGUGCGCUGAAAACUAAGUUCAUAUGCGCGAAGCAACACUUGUUAAUUUAAAAUAUUACCUUCUGUGCGGCUAUUUAUCAAAUCUGACAGAUGGCAAGUCGUCGGCUUCAGCCCCCAUGCCACGAGUGCUGGGGUGUUCGGGAUAAAUUUGGGCACUCUUGUUCCCAUAUUUGGGUCCAUCGAGGGAGGCGCUCAACACAACGAACAAGGCAACCGGACUUAUAAUGCUUGAACACUCUCACUUAGCCAUAGAAUUCUAUAACUUUAAAUUUCGGCGAAGCCCCUAGUUUUCGGAAGGCCGAAUUUGGGGCGCUAUCCACGCCUUGGCCGGACAGAAUCCGGCUCCUCGCUCGAAGCGGCAUAAGUCUUUAGGGACUCGCAAAGAACCUCUCGAACAGCGACCAGCUCUCGCCUCAUCAUGACGGUCAGUUUUAGCUUUCUCCACUGAGGCGUUAACCCAGCUCAACUGGGGCGCAAUCGCAGUGGUUCUCCCAGUGCUACCUUAGCCGAUAAAACGGAAUGUAAGGUACCAAAACAUGGGAGCCGGGCAAACCCAACUAUUGACCCAAGAACAUGAUUCGGAGCCGAUGCAUAUAAUGCUAUAAGUUCGGGGUGCCGCACUUGUGAAAGUGUUCGGACUUAUCACACCAUAACGCGGGAAACAUAAGCCCCUGGUGUAUUUAGCCGUACCAAAACAUACGGAUGCAACAUGUCAUAGAUGAACAUAUGUGUAAGAAAGAAAUGCAAUUGGAAGCAAAAAUGUGCUGCAUUGCUUUAUUCAAUAAAAACUGCUGUAAGUGCAGGACGAUACAAGUGGUGCGGUAAGCAAGGGAUGAGACUGUUUAACAUGUCCCCCUCCAGGGGUAGGCUACGGUAUAAUGCAUAAAACAGAUUUAAUGCUCAUAUUGGAGACCACCUGGAUUUUCGUUGUAGCCUUUCUCCUUCCCUGGCUGUUGCAUCAUGGGUUCGGCAUGUCUGCUGCCGGACAGGGUCUCUGACGAACAGAGUCCUGUAGGUAAAAAAUAAAAGGAAAAGAAAAAGAAACGACACACUUAAGAGCCCCUGGUGCGGUUGAGUCGCAGUCUGGGCUUAUCGUGGUCGAGCCCCUUGCCCCAUGCCCAUGGUAUCUUCACAGCGUAAUGGAGUACGUGAAGGGUCUGUCUUAAUGUUUUACAGGGGCUGGGGUUGGGGCCGCACUGCUACGCGUGCUCGGAACGUGCCAGGUGGUCGUGUUGUAGGUUACUCCGGGCAUGCUUAGCUGUGUCCAGCCGCUUGGCAGCAGGACUCGAGAAUUGCCUUAAAAGGCUGCUUUGUACUUCUGCCGCAAGAGCCACUGUAUGUUCCUCCGUUCGGAGGGAGCGUUCAGUGUUUCCGUUGACCGUGAUGACUCCUCUAGGGCCUGGCAUCUUGAGCUUGAGGUAUGCAUAGUGCGGCACCGCGUUGAACUUUGCGAACGCGGUACGUCCGAGCAAGGCAUGAUAGCCGCUGCGGAACGGGACUAUGUCGAAGAUUAACUCCUCGCUUCGGAAGUUAUCCGGGGAUCCGAAGACCACUUCCAGUGUAACUGAGCCUGUACAAUUGGCUUCUACACCUGGUAUGACGCCUUUAAAGGUCGUCUUGGUAGGUUUAAUCCUUGAGGGGUCUAUGCCCAUUUUGCGCACCGUGUCCUGAUAAAGCAGGUUUAGGCUGCUGCCGCCGUCCAUCAGGACUCUGGUGAGAUGAAAUCCAUCGACGAUUGGGUCUAGAACCAAUGCGGCAAACCCACCAUGGCGAAUGCUGGUGGGGUGGUCCCUUCAGUCAGAGGUGAUCGGGCAAGAGGACCAUGGAUUGAACUUCGGGGCAACUGGCUCCAUCGCGUAUACAUCCCUGAGUGCACGCUUCCGCUCCCUUUUGGGUAUAUGCGUGGCAUAUAUCAUGUUCACCGUCCGCACCUGUGGGGGGAAACCCUUCUGUCCUCUUGUUCGGCGGUCGGGUCUCUUCCUCGUCGUCGCUAUGUAGCCCCUUGUCGCUGUUUUCGGCAAUUAACUUGCCUGCCUGCUUGAACACCCAACAGUCCCUAUUGGUGUGGUUAGCUGGCUUUUCAGGGGUGCCAUGUAUCUGGCACAAGCGGUUGAGAAUUCGGUCCAAAUUGGACGGACCCUGAGUUGUUCUUUUGAAUGGCUUUUUCCGUUGACCGGGUUUAGAGCCUCUGAAUCCGGCAUUGACUGCCGUAUCCUCACUGUUAUCGCCGUUAAUGCGGCGUUUGUUUUUGUUGCAAUGCGACCUGCCACUACGGUCCUUGAUAUCCGGACUGCCAGAAUUUUUGUUGAGGUUGUUGCUGCGUGCUAGCCAGCUGUCCUCACCCGCACAGAAGCGGGUCAUGAGUGAUGUAAGGGCUUCCAUGGAUUUCGGCUUUUCCUGUCCCAGGUGCCGGGCAAGCCACUCAUCGCGGAUGUUAUGCUUGAAGGCCGCGAGGGCCUCGGCAUCCGGACAGUCGAUGAUUUGGUUUUUCUUGGUUAAGAACCGUGUCCAGAAUUGUCUGGCCAAUUCGUCUGGCUGCUGAAUUAUGUGGCUUAGGUCAUCUGCAUCUGGUGGUCGCACGUACGUGCCUUGGAAGUUAUCGAGGAAUGUAGCUUCCAGGUCCUCCCCACUCCCGAUUGACUCUGCUGGCAAGCUGUUAAGCCAGUGCCGGGCUGGUCCUUUAAGUUUGAGUGGAAGAUAUUUGAUGGCGUGGAGAUCGUCUCCGCGGGCCAUGUGGAUGUGGAGGAGAUAGUCUUCGAUCCAGACCACGGGGUCUAUUGUGCCAUCAUAAGAUUCAAUAUUGACGGGUUUAAACCCUUCUAGGAUUUGAUGAUCCAUUACCUCAUCUGUGAAGCACAGUGGGUGUGCAGCGCCUCUGUACUGGGGGAUAUCGCAACGGAGCUCAAAAGAGCUUUGUCUGUUGUGUUCGGCUCGGCUAGACUUACUGUGUUCGGAGUGACGGUGAUCGUCACGUAUCGUGGGGCGCCCGCGUGAUCCAUAGAUCGAUCUUGAUUGUCUUGCCUUAUCCUCCAAUAUGUUUCGCAGGUCCGGAGUGUUCCCCUAUGGCCUUGUGCUUUUCAAGUGAUGCCGGGGUGCGGGUCUAAUGAAUGGCCUUGAGGCCUCUCUGUCGCGACCACGGCGUGGUCGAUCAGCCGUAUUGUCUCCUGGUGAAGCGGGAUCAUAUGCCUCCUCCUCUAAUCGGGGCAGCAGCUUACGUUUGGGGUAGCUUUUGGAGGGGCGUUCGAGUUCAUGCUCUUCGGCCGCGAGGACUUCGGUCCAUCUGUCGGCUAGCAGAUCUUGAUCAGCUCUAAGCUGCUGCUGCUUUUUCUUGAGGCUGUUUGCCAUGGCCAUAAGCCUGCGUUUGAAACGUUCCUGUUCGACGGGAUCCUCAGGCACGACGAAUUCGUCGUCGUUGAGGCUUGCCUCGUCUCCGGAGGGAGGCAUAUAGUCCUCUACCUCUUCUUCGGCCGCUCUCUCAUGAGGGCUGGCGUCCCCCUCCUCCUGCGCUGGAUCUUGCUGGAGUGGGUUGUCUUCGGCGCUAUCCGGUGUAUUAUUGUCUCCGGUGCCGGAAUCCUCAUUCUUGCUAUGGCGGGAUUUAGAGCGGCGCCGCUGACGCCGGCGCUUGGGCUGUUUCUUGGAGGGGUCAUCCUCCGCUAUUCCUUCGCCGUUCCCAUCCUUUGGGAUAUCCACCAUGUAUAUGUCGUAUGAAGAGGUGGCUUUCCAGUGCCCAGUGGGCGCUGGUUCUUGGUCGUCUCCGGCAUCAUCGUCCAUACCGUCGAUGUCCUCAGAGUCAUAAUCUAGCAUGUCGGUUAGAUCGUCGACAGUGGCUAUCAAGUGGGUGGUGGGUGGGCUCUGAAUUUCUUCGUCGUCCGCAUCCCAACCGUCCUGGCCGCAGUCUGGCCAGGCCUCUCCUGAUAACGAGAGGUACUUUAGCGAACUCAAGAUGUCGCCAAAAGGUGAGUGUUGAAAGAUGUCCGCCACGGUGAACUCCAUGAUCGGCGCCCAAUCGGAUUCGACUGGAGGGGGCGCGGGAGGUCCGGAGUCCGGCAAGGAGUCCGGCACCUCGGAGUCAUGAGCUUCAUGGGGGACAAGAUCGGUGUUCGGCUCUAUCGCCGUAGAGGUUGCAGCCCCCGAGGCGGUGUCUAGCCAUCCAUCCUUGGUCUGCGCAGCCGGCUCCGAGUCGAAGAUCGGAGCGGGCUCGAGUGCGGCCUCUAGGGUACUGUCCGGCUGCAGAGCUAAAUCAUUCCCAUCGUGACAGUACGGCACGCUCGGCUGUGGCUCGAAUCCGUCGAGGAUCAAGUCCCCGCGGAUGUCAGCCGUGAAGUUCAAACUUCCAAAUCUGACCUCACGGCCAGGGGCGUAGCCUUCGAUCUGCUCUAGCUGGCCAAGCGAAUUGGCCCGCAGUGCGAAGCCGCCGAAUACGAAGAUCUGUCUGGGGAGGAAGGUCUCACCCUGGACUGCAUCGUCGUUGAUGAUCAAAGAAGCCAUCGAGCCUAUCGGUGACGACACAGAGGAACUCUCAAUGAAAUCACCAACGUCGGUGUCAAAACCGGCGGAUCUCGGGUAGGGGGUCCUGAACUGUGCGUCUAGGCGGAUGGUAACAGGAGACGAGGGACACGAUGUUUUUACCCAGGUUCGGGCCCUCUUGAUGGAGGUAAAACCCUACGUCCUGCUUGAUUAAUAUUGAUGAUGUGGGUUACAAGAGUAGAUCUACCACGAGAUCAAGGAGGCUAAACCCUAGGAGCUAGCCUAUGGUAUGAUUGUUGUUCGUCCUAUGGACUAAAGCCAUCCGGUUUAUAUAGACACCGGAGAGGGCUAGGGUUACACAGAGUCGGUUACAAUGGUAGGAGAUCUACAUAUCCGUAUCGCCAAGCUUGCCUUCCACGCCAGGGAAAGUCCCAUCCGGACACAGGACGAAGUCUUCAAUCUUGUAUCUUCAUAGUCUUGGAGUCCGGCCGAUGAUGGUAGUUCGGCUAUCCGGACACCCCCUAGUCCGGGACUGCCUCAGCAUCCCUCCUCGUCAUUCUCCAUCGCAAGCCCUCCACUCUUUCCUGUGCGGUGCAGACUAACAACCGUCCGGCAGGGAGAAGGCAUGGUGUCACCAACAGCAGCAUACCACAUAGCACUACUGCAUUCCGCCAGCGGCCGCCGCAAGGGCGCCUCUGCUGGUCACUCUUGCGACCACUUCCCAGUGGUCAUACACAUGCACUCCUUUUGUCUAGGUGGUGUGCAUGGGAUCCAGGUGGCUGUACACGUCCACAUCCAACGUGUGGAUGGUGUCCACUUUUUGUUAAGGGGUCCAAAAUAAAGCGUCCCAGUCCAUUUCAGGUUGAGAAUGAUAAAACAAGUCGAGAUGUAAAAGGCUUGUUUUUAGGUGUUAGGUUUGUCUUGCGUCGAGUCAUGGUUAUAAGGUUGUUAGGCUGCAACUCGAGGACAAGCUGCAUGUCCAGGUGGGGUGUAGUGUUAGAGUACGUAAUGGGCCUAAUGGGUCUGUUAGUCUUAGGGUUAAUUAGAGAUAGGAUCGCUUACUUAGGGGUCAAGUAAGCCUUGCUUGGCAGUCAAGUAAACCUCUCUAUAUAAAGAGAGGAGAUGUAUCAAUCUAAUGAAGAUAGAAUUAAGAAGGAAAUCCCUUCCCUCUUGGCCGGCCGUGGGCAGAAAGGCCCCCGGCCGACCCUCUCGCGCCCUCUUCGAGCAGCGCCAUAACAACGUUGAUCUUUGCUGCCUAUAGAUACAUCUUCAACUAUAACGAUGCCUUAGAAGCGGAGAUCCAUGCGUUGAUGCAAGGUAUGACCUUGGCCAUUCAGCACUCGGACAACCUGUCAUUGUGCAAUCAAAUUCUAAAAAUGCCCUGGCCACUCUUGGAGGAAACCCUUUGGUCAAAUCGGCUUACGAUCACUUAGAUUAAAGCUCUUAUGGUUGAUCGAAAGUUUGUUCCACUUAAGAUUACUAGUGAUCAAAAUAGGAUAGCACAUCAACUGGCUUUUUAUAGCCGUACCGAGGCUUGUACUGCGGUAUGGUUGAAUUUGAGUCCUAUGUGUUGUGAGGACUUUGUGCCUCGAGAUUGUAUCCAUAUCAUUAUGGAAUCAAACUCUCUUUUACCCCGUGUUGGGGAUAUAACCCCUCGACAUAACCCGCCUUACUGGGCUGGGUCAUCCUGGUGCCAGCUUAGGAGCAUGACUCAAGAAGGGCCUUGACGCACAAGUGUAAGACCAAUAGGGCGGAUCAUAGAGUGUGCCGGUUCAAGGCCCAAUGUCUGAAGACAGCGACUCAUGGCCUGGAAGGCAAGUCCCCCGAAGUUUCCUUGCUUGGAGUAGAAGGCAAGUUAGAAACAGACUAAGUCACAGAUCAUAGUACGACCCAGACUCUUGUAAGCCCAGGGCCCCGACCUAUAUUUAAAGGCAAGUCCCUGAGGCAGAUAGGACUAAGUUACAAUCGAUCAAUAGCUAGGUUAAGUGAAUCCGCUCCCUUGUACUUGACCAUCCAACAAUUAACAACAAGUAGGACAUAGGCUAUUACCUCAAUCGUGAGGGGACGAACCUGGGUAAAUCCGUGUCUCUCGAUUCCGAUCAACCCCGACAAGUUAACCGCGCGGUUAUGAUGUCCUCACGACUAAGUCCUCACACUAGGACAUCUUCCAUGACAAAACCACGCCAGUUGGCGCCACCGUUGGGCCAGCACACAGUGAUUUCGAGUUCUUGAAGGGCUCUUUCCUAGUGAUCAAGGGAUACGCCAUUGGAAGGAUGAUGAAGAGUCGCCGCGGCAAACUCUACAUCGACGACACUGGCUGGGGCCCCGAGGCUGACUCAAUCGAGUAUGGGUACUGGGUCCCCGCCGGCAACAUCCAUGUCUUCAUUGGUAAGAUCGGUGAAUCAGAGCCUGAGCCGGACUUCUGCACCGACCUUGUCGAGCUGGCUCAACGCACGCAACCUGCCGGGAUUCAAGCCGGUCGCAACCAUGUCUUUGUUGGUUUCACGCAAGGUAUGGAACUUGCAGAAAAUUCCGCGUCCGGAGGAGAGACUCUCAUCUACUCGGAUGACGAAUCCUCGACCGGAGACACGGACUCAAUCUACCAGCUUCAGGACAGCAAGCUUGGGGGUUGUGCCUAUCGCAACAUUAUUCCGUACCCCUACGAUCCGUCGUGCCGAGCCGCCAUCUUCAUGGCGGGGAUGGGGCCGACUCUCAAUUCCAUGGCGGUUGGAGCAACGACGAUAGUUGACCCUUCAGCAUCGGAUUCUAGUACGUCCGGCUCGGCCAGGAUGCUAGCUCAAGUUCUGCCUGAGCUGAUGGCCACCUUAAUAACCUUACCUCAGGACCGAGGUCGCUGUGGAAAACCAAGUAGAAUGCAAUGUAGAGAUAGCAAAGAUUUGGGAGUAGAUGACCAAGGCCCAAGAAGAUAUCAACGCUGAGAACGCCCAGACGACCACGUUGCAAGCUUAGAUUAAUGCAGAGGUGGAGUGCCUGAAGGCAGAGGCUUAGCGUUUAAACUUUUGAUCAGAAUGCUUCCAAUGCAGUCCUUCGAAGGAGGCACCAGACCCUUUUACCUCUAAGCUAUGAGCCCAUGCGUUUGUUCAACACACCAGGGCAGGCCCAAGUACUCCAGGAGCACUUCUUAUACCCAAAUUAACCUCGGAUGUGCACGGAAAUAGGGCAGCAGCCUAGCCUCAUCGGCCAGAGCCGGUCCAUAGGGAUGAGCCAGUUCCAGACCCGACCCUUGUCCACACGCCACCACAGUGUUUCCUGACACCGCCGAGUCACUUGUCCAACCCGGUGGAUAACAUGGUGGCAGCGACCACCCGACUUACGUCACUCCCUAUUACUGGUGAGUCGCCGGUCGCGGUGGAAACCCGGAAUACCGUUGAAACUUUUGCAAAUGGCGAUUGCUCACCAUGCGAAUUACUUACAUAGUCGACAUCGCGUGCAUUCAACUCCUCUACCGAGAUGUAGCUACAGCCGCCAUGCUGAGUAGUCAAUAGUGUCUAGUAGUGAAGGGCGUCUUAACCCGCCCCAGGAUAACCUGCCUCGUAAUACAUUUUCAAAUGCUCAAGCAAUUGUGGAUGAAGCAAGGGACUGUCGCGAGGCGAAGGCAGUAAACUAGGGGGCUUAUCAGCACCCCCAGUAAUUCCUUCAACUUUGGUGGAAGCCGGGUUGAGCACCAAAACCAUCGUAGUGUCGUGCCUAGUGCGGGCUUUGCAUAACGAGCGCAUGCCUAAAUACUUCAAGGGUCCCCACAAGAUACCCAACUACACAACGGAUCUUGAGCCUGCGAGUUGGAUCAAGAGCUAUGAGUUGGCCAUGGAUAUUUUGGAAUAAGGGAAUGCAUUGUGGAGUAGUAAUUAGAUGAUGGGUUGCUGGAGUGACAGAAGUUAAACCCUAGUUUAUGUGCUAUUUCGCAAGGGGCUGAUUUGGAUCUAUACGUUUCAUGCUAUGGUUAGAUUUAUCUUAAUUCAUCUUUCGUAGUGGCGGAUGCUUGCGAGAGGGGUUAACCAUAAGUGGGAGGAUUGUUCAAGUAAUAACAUCACCCAAGCACCGGUCCGCCCACAUAUCAUAUUAUGAAAGUAACAAACAUGAAUCAAACAAACAUGAUGAAAGUGACUAAAUGAAAUUCCCGUGUGUCCUCAAGGGCGCUUUGCUUACUAUAAGAGUGUCGGGGAAACUGAUCCACGAACACCUAUGGGGACCGGCGGACCGAGCCCCUUUCGAUUCGGCGGGGGGCGGAGGUCGCACGAAGAGCAGAUCGAGGCGAAGCACACGAGCAGUUUACCCAGCUUCGGAGCUCUCCGGAGAGAUAACACUCCUACUGCUGCUUGUCUGGUUGUAUUGAGCUCUUGCUCGGGAGCGCGGAGCGCUACAGUAUACACGAGACCGAGCGUGAGUGUGUUUUUGGCUUCCAACUGAGCCGAACCCCCUUUACGUUGCGCGUGGGCCUCCUUUUAUAUGCUCAAGGGGUCACCGACAGGUGGCAACGUAAACAAGGGUAAAAACGUAAAAGAGAGAGGUGGUUGGUACAGCUACCUGUACAGUGUAUCCUACCUAACCCUGACGGCAGGGGACAAGGGCAUUAAAUGCUCGUCUGUGUCGCCCAAAACAGUGCAGAAAAGGACCGUCAGGGGCGCCACCGCUUGCCACGAUGGCGAUCUUGUCAGCAUCGCAUGCCACCGCGCACCGCUGGCUGCACAGCCUCCCGCCACGCGCGCCUGGAAAGGCCCCUAGGGCGACACGUUGGUGGAUGCGCUGGAGUGUGGGCACAGAGUGGCCGCUUGCCGCGGCAAGUGCCUUGCCGCGGUCGUUGUCUUGUCGCGCCCGGAAGCUUGUCGCUCACCGGGCCUUGCCGGGACGCGUGGCGCGUCGCAGCAAGUUCCCUGAGAUGCCUUGGUUGGCCUUCCCGGCAAGCACCUCUUGCCGGGGCCUUGUCUCCUUGACUUGAACACGUUCUUGAAUGGCUCCAAAGGAGCCAUGGAGGACCUUGGCGGUCACCGGCAAGCCCUUGCCGCGGGGCGCUGCAACUGCCCGUGCACAAGUUCGGGGUACUAGGGUACCCCUACUCUAGUACACCGACAGGAGCCCCCGGGCCUGGGCCACACACGGUGCCGAGCGCUGUUGGGCCAGGCCCAAAACAGGGCACGGGCACACAUGGCCUGGGUUACGCCGUAUCUUACUCCGUAUCCACCGCGCCCUCCCCAACGGCACGCGUCGAAUGCAGCGUCGUGGGAGAGAUCGUGGGUGGAUUCUUUAUUCGGAAGGGCGAAAUGUCCGCCCCCUCCCUCUUUACAAGCAGGGGAAACAGGGGCAGUUCGCCCAUCUCGCCGGUUGCUUCUCCAUUUUCACAAAUCUCCGCCGCUCCCCUCUUCCUUCUUCUCGAAGCUGAGAGAGAGCAGCGCUCCGCCCCCCAUUGCCACCAGCACCACCAACACCGUCGAUCUUCCCCACCACCUCUGCCAUGGCUCCAAAAGCCGACAAGGUGAAGGGCGUGAAGUCGGCCGAGGCGCAGCGGCUCGUGGCGCUGCGGAAGGAGCGGGCGAUCUUCUCCCCCCAGCUCGGCGCGAAGGAGCUAAGGGAGUACUACUACCUCUUCUGGUCGACGGAGACGCGAGCGCAUCCGCGUACGAGGGUACUCCCGGCCGCUGCUUCGGAACUGGCUCCAAACGGGUACCCCUUUUCGCGCUGUUCUUCUAUUGCGGGCUCUGCCCGCCCUUCUCGGAAUUCUUCUGCGACAUCAUGAACACCUACGGGCUCCGCCUCCUUGAUUUCACCCCCAACGCCAUUCUGACCAUGGCAGUUUUCGCACAUCUGUGCGAAAACUUUGUCGGAGUCCACCCCAACGUAGCCCUUUUUCGCCACUUCUUCAUGCCUCGGGUAGAGAGAGGAGAGCCUCUUGCCGGCGGGAUCGCUUGGAUCUCGAGGGUCGGCAAGAAGGAAGCAUAUCUGGAGGGAGAGCUUCGCAGCAAAUGGGAGGAGUGGAGAGCGGAGUGGUGCUGGAUCGUCGAGGAAAACCCGCAGCCGUUUACUGUCGUGCGCCAAGCCCCAAUAGUGCGUGGCAACGAUUGGAGCAAGGUGGCCCCGGAAGACGACAGAUUGAAAAUUGCCAUCACCCGGAUCCUUCGUCUUAGGCUUGCCGGGCUCACUGUAGGCGCCGUUGGCGCAGAUUUCCUUCGUCGCCGCAUCGCCCCCCUGCAGGAGAGGGGGAGACCCGCCUGGGAGUUUAAGAACUCGGCGGAUAUCAUGAGGUUGCGCCCGGGCCUCAAUUUCAACUUCACCGUCCUGGAGCUGGAUGCGAUGCUCCUGGAGUUGUUCAAACGCGAUCCUCAGCAUCCAUUCAUGUUGCCGAGGAGCGUUGUUCCAUUGUGCAAGAAUUCUUCGCUCGACCGGAUCCGCGCGAUGAUGCCGUUGUGCGAUUCACACGGAAUCGCCCCAACUUGGCAAGAGCCUACGGAUGACGUCGUGCGGGCGUUCUUCGACGACUUGGUAGAAGUGCCGGUCCGCGCCGACGAACAGAAGAGCCUCACCCGCGACACCACCGACGCGGAGCUGCAGCGCAUCGCCACUAGGACGGAAGAGGCUGCGGCAGCAGCUGCCGCAGGCGAGUUCGGGUUCACCGUGGAGGAGGCCGAGGUAGCAGAGGCGGCAAGCCUUGCCGAGCGCGAGGAGUUUGCCGGCGAGGAAGAUCUUACCGGCCCUGAAGCUGAGCCGAGCGAGCCCGGCGAGGAAGAGCCCGAACCUUCAGACAGCUUGCCGCAAGUGGAGCCCCUAGCUGCACCAAGGCGUCUCCGCAAGGCCGAGGACGUAGCGGGGCGGCAAACGAGCCAACAGCCAUCGAGCCGUGCGACACGCUCUACCGCGGCAAGCACUGUUGCCGCGGGAGCGCCUCAUGCUGCUGCGGCAACUGGAGCGGGAUCUUCCCGGUCCACCGCUACUGCCCCUGCCAAGCGGGCAAGGGAACCUACUCCUCCGCCUCGCCGCACCGAAGGGGAGCCGGACUUCGAUCUCUCCGCGCUCAGCUCCGACGAGGAAGAAGAAGAGUAAGUUUCUUUGGUGUUCUUGUAGUUCUUCGUUCUUGUUGUUUUGUCUUGCAUCUGACUUGCUUCAAUCUGAACCCAUUCCUUUUCAGGACGCUGGCCCAGAGAGCGGCGAAGAGAGCCAAGGCCCCGGUGAUUGUCAUCGAAGAUGAUCCCACCGUGUCAGCAGGGGGUGUUUCUGAGACCACCUUGACGGACCCGACAACUACUCCCCAAAGCAGUCCCCAGCUCAGCCCCCAGCGUAAGUUUAUAGUUUACUUCCUGCUGUCAGGCGCGCAUGGGUGCUCUUUUCUCUAUUGAUAUCUUGACUGUUGGAUUUGUGUAGGAGCAGAGCAGCCUCACCAGGAGGGCCCAGAAGCCGCUCCCGAAGUGCCAUCUGCUUCGACUACACCGCCAAGGGAGGAUUCCCCGGCAAGGGAGCGUUCUCUGGCAAGGGAGAACUCCCCGGCAAGGGACAGUUCUCCGGCAAGGGACGACACCAGUGAUCCUCCGGCGGUUGAGACGCGACCGCAGAUCCUAGCACAGGUAAUCUUCUUGCCUGAAAACUUGCCCUUGGGUUUUUCUUCUUCUGACUUUCUCUUUGAGUAUUUGCUUGACUUUUCUCCCUUUUUCGUUCUUCAGAUCCAUCCGCCACAGAGCCGAUGGAAACUGAGGCCGCUGAAGGAGAGGCCGGCGCUGAUGAACCCGCCGGCGAAGAGGCCGCCAAGGCUGCCGCCGCUGAAGCCGGCGAGGGAUCCGGCGAUCGCACUGACAGCCCUGAGGCUGCAGGAGCGCCAGGCGUUGCACCGACCGCCGACCCCUCCGCUGCUGCUGCGGCGCCAGGCUCCGAAGAGCCCCAGCCCGGCGCCUACUUGAAGGCCGGCGACGGCAUCUUCAUCAAGCUUCCCUGGGUGUCAAGCUCUAGGGCGCCGGUCAAAGGAGAAAUCCUGGAUGGAGAAGUGCUUGCCUCCGCGGGGCUGACGCUGGUCGACGCGCCAAGCAGCAGCAGCGACGAGCCUGAGGAGGAGCGGCUGCUGUGGAAGCUGAUGUCGCUCUACCGCGCCCGACAAGCCAAGCUGGCUUCCCGAGAAGCGCUUGUCGCGAGGGCGGGAGUUGACAUUGAGAAGCGCGCGGAGGAGCUUCGGGGCCUCAGGCAGGAAACUCUCUGGUCCUUGGCGGAGGAGCGGGAGCAACUUCUCGAGGAGCGGAAAGCCUUUCUCCUCGAGAAGGCUGAGGUCGAAGAAAAGCAGCGGCUUGUCGCCGAAAAUCUCUUUGCGCAAGAGGGAGAGUUGGCGCAGCGCAAGGUCAACCUUGACAGCCACGAAGAGGAGCUUGCCAAGCGCGAGCAAGCAAUUGGAGGUGUUCUCAAGGAAGCAAGGGAUGCUGCCGCAGCUGCUGAGGCCGCCAAGAAAGAGCUGGAGGCGAAGGUGGCGCAGCUGGAGGCCAAUCUCAAGACGAGCGGCGAGGAGCUUGCCGUGCUCAAGCGCGAGCGCGAGAAGGAUGCCGCCGCCCAUGGUGAGCUGCAGGGUCUUCUCGCUGAGAGGAGCAAGGAGCUCAGCACCGCCAAGGACUCCAACGCGGAUCUCGAGUUGAAGCUGGCUACGUUGACUCAGACGUUGGACGGCGCCAGGGAGCGAGAGUGACCUUGUCGGAGAAGAUCAAGGCCGACGAGGCGCUGCUGGCGAGUAUUGCCGUUACCCAGAACUCAUUUAGGGAGACUGUGGAGCACUGGACCGAGGGUCUGGUGAACAUUGCCGCAGUCAUCGACGGGGAGCUGGCGCAGCAGCUGGGGAUGGAGGACUUCGGGUAUUCUUCCGACGAGCAUCUCCAACCCAGCGCCAAGCUCAGUUUGUUCUUCAAGGGCGUGGCGACGGCCCUCCAGCGGCUUCGGGAGAAGAUCCCAAAGCAGCUGGCCGACGAGUCGCGCAAGAUUUGCGCGGGAGUUCUUCAGAAGGUGCUGGUGAAGGUGGCCUUCCGCAACCCAGGCCUCAACCUCACCAACGUCCUCAGGUCCUUGCCGCCUGACGCUGAUCUGGAAGCGCUCAAGGCCCUUGUCACACCCAUUGUGGACAAGGUGAGCGAGAUCAAGAGGGUUGAGGGCGAUCGUGUAGACUAGGCCGCCCGUUUUCUCUUUCUCCUUGUCGCUGCUAGCCAUAUUAUGAGAUCAAUCAGUUAGAGCUGCGACAAGUUAUCUUGUAAUAUAACUCUAUUUCUGGUAUCGAUUGCUACGUUAUUUCCUUUACUAGAUCCCUUCCUUUGUAUGUUUUUACCCUAUGCUUUUAGGGAAAUUGUCGGCGCAGGCACCCGAGCCGCGAGCGCUGAGUGCGGGACGUCAGCAGCCUGCUGGCGGUGCCGCUUCCGACAAGAAACCUUGUCGCAACUAGUUUCAGCACACUUAAAUUGUUGAGCGGACUCGAAACAAAGUAAGGGCGCAACUAGCUACGAGUUGGUUCCUCCGCGCACAGGUUUUCCAUACAAAGCACAGUCGUUCGAGGAAGAUAACUUAAAAAUUAAAACUAAUUGCUCAAACUUUGGCAACUUAGCUUUUCUGUCGUUUCCUUCCCGGUAAGGCGAAACUUCCUUGAACGAUGCCUAGUCCACAUCAUUAUCUUCUCCUUUCCCCCCCGGUAAACUUGUGUGCGAGGGAACCCUCCUUUCCUUUGUUGAGAAAAAGAAAGAAGAGAAAAUAAAGAUAUGGAGCCUUUCGGCUCGUUAUUGCUUACCGGGGGUAGGUGCUGCACAAAGUGUCAGAUAACGCAUGCAAGAAAGAAUAUAAUGCAUGAAAUUGACAAGAUGUGUGGAGCACAUGAGCUUUACUUAUGCACGGGAUCUGCGUCCAGCUUUGUACAAAGGAUUACAUGCAACAUCGGCAAGACUUGUACAAAAGGUGGUUGCCGGAAUAGGUUCCGACAACCGCGCCCUACGGGUAAAACUUACGAAGAUGCUCAAUGUUCCAGGAGUUGCUCACCGGAAUGCCAUCUUUGGUCUCAAGGCGGACAGCGCCGGGCCUAGUGACUCGUUUCACCCGGUAAGGGCCUUCCCACUUCGGCGUCAACUUGUUGGAAUUCUUGGCGGACUGAACGCGCCAAAGAACAAGGUCGCCUUCCUCGAAACUUCUGGCGUUAACUUUGCGGCUAUGGUAGCGGCGCAAAGCUUGCUGGUAUCGAGCAGCUCGUACAGCAGCCUGAAGACAGUUCUCCUCAAGGAGCAGCGCGUCAUCUUGUCGCAGCUGCUCUUGCUCGAGCUCAUCAAAAGCGAGCACUCGAGGUGACCCAUAUACGAGUUCCGUGGGGAGAACUGCCUCUGCUCCAUAGACUAGAGCGAAAGGUGUCUGGCCAGUGGCUCGAUUUGGCGUCGUUCUGAUCGACCAAAGAACCAUCGGCAGCUCCUCGAUCCAGUUUCUUCCGCACUUGUGCAGCCUAUCGAAAGUCCUGGUCUUGAGCCCGCGCAACGCUUCAGCAUUUGCCCUCUCUGCUUGACCGUUGCUUCUCGGAUGAGCAACAGAAGUGAAGCAGACCUUGGCUCCAAGAUCUUGGACAUACUGCAUGAAGGUGCGGCUUGUGAAUUGCGUGCCGUUGUCGGUGAUGAUCCUGUUAGGGAUCCUGAAACGACAAACAAUCGACCUGAAGAACUUGACUGCUGACUGUGCUGUCACCUUCCUCACUGGUUCCACUUCUGGCCACUUUGUGAACUUGUCGAUUGCAACGUACAAGUACUCAAAGCCCCCGACAGCUCGGGGGAAGGGGCCGAGGAUAUCGAGCCCCCAGACCGAAAAUGGCCAGGAUAAAGGGAUCAUCUGGAGAGCUUGAGCUGGCUAGUGUAUCUGCUUGGAAUGGAACUAGCAUGCUUCACACUUGGUUACUUGUGCAGUUGCAUCCUGGAGGGUUGUCGGCCAAAAGAAACCUUGCCGGAAAGCUUUGCCGGCAAGUGCUCUUGCGCCAAUGUGGUGACCACAUAUGCCUCCAUGUAUCUCUGCCAACAGCUUCUGUCCGUCUUCCCGGCAAAUACACUUCAAUUUCACACCGUUGAGUCUUCUUCUGUACAGUGUGUUGUCGACAAACUGGUACAUACUUGACUGCCGGGCUACUCUUUCCGCUUCUUCUUGCUCUUCGGGAAGUUCUCCUGUUUGAAGGAAAUGGACAAUCUGCUAUGCCCAUGCUGGAGCUUGUGGCUCGACAACAAGGACUAAAGGCACUUCUGCUGCUGCGGGAACAUCAGCUUCUACGGCAAGAACAUGUGGCUCAGCCGGAGCUUGAUGUUCCCCGGCAAGCUCGCCGGGGCAAAGCUUGUCGGGAGCGUCUGCUUCAACGGAACAAACACUAAGGUUUGCCGGAGCAGACUGCUCCUCAGCACUCUUGGUGUUGAUCUUGGGGACCUUCUUGGCGGCGGCUUCGGGGAGCUCUGUCGGAAAAUAGUCGCCAGAAAUCAACUUCCUCUUCUUGCCCUGUCCCGUUGAUGGUGUUACAGAUGGUUGAGUCAGCUUGAGCACAAAGAUCCUUGGUUCCACAGGUAACUUAAGUGCGGCGCACUUUGACAGGCCAUCAGCAAUGUCAUUCUGAGCUCUUGGAACAUGUUCCAUCUGUAGGCCGUCAAAGUGCUCUUCUAGCUUUCUCACUCCAUCAACAUAAGCUUCCAUCAACGGACUUUGAUAAUUCUUGUUCACUUGGCAGACGACAAGCUGUGAGUCACCCCUGACAAUGAGCUUCUUGAUCCCAAGGUCUGCCGCGAUCCUGAGACCGGCAAGCAAGCCUUCAUACUCUGCAGUAUUGUUCGUUGCUUGCUCCUUGGGAAAGUGCAUCUGGACUAUGUACUUGAGGUGCUCUCCGGUGGGUGUGACAAGCAGCACGCCCGCUCCGACGUCUUGCAGCGAGAAGGCACCAUCAAAGUACAUUAGCCACUCUUUCCUUGUCUCCUUGACGGGGAUGCUCGUUUCUGGUAUUUCUUCAUCCGGUGUUGGCGUCCAUUCUGCUAUGAACUCUGCCAAUGCUCUGCUUUGGAUAGUUGAGGUGCUCUCAAACUUGAGGCCAAAGCUUGACAGUUCCAGUGCCCACUCGACAAUCCUGCCUGUUGCUUCCGGAUUCUGCAAUAUCCUCUUCAGCGGAAAACGAGUGACAACUGUGAUCUCAUGUGCUUGGAAGUAAUGGCGCAGCUUUCUCGAGGCCAUGAGAAGGCCGAAAAGCAAUUUCUGCACACCAGAGUACCUUGACCUAGCCCCUUGCAGAAGGGAACUGACAAAGUAAACUGGGCGCUGCACCAUUCUUUUCUGUAUCUCCUUAUGCAUCUGCGCAGAUCUAUCUUUGUCGGGACCAGAGCUUGUCGGCGAAGCCCCCUGCUUGUCGCUGGAUGCAUCUGCCGUGGUUGCUGGCUCAUCAUCCGCCUCCCUCUCUGCUACUAACGUAGCGCUAACCACUUGAUUGGUUGCCGCUAUAUAUAACAACAACUUCUCCUGUGGCUUAGGUGCGACAAGUGUUGGAGUGGAGGACAGGUAUCUCUUUAAGUCCUGCAGCGCAGCCUCCGCCUCCGGAGUCCAUUUCAUUGGACCUGCCUUUUUCAAUAUUUUGAAAAAUGGCAGGGCGCACUCAGCAGAUCUAGAGAUAAACCUGCUGAGAGCAGCUACGCAACCGGCAAGUCUUCGUACAUCCUUGACGCGCUUUGGUGCUUCAAUCUGCUCGAUGGCCUUGAUCUUGUCGGGAUUGGCUUCAAUUCCCCGCUGAGACACAAAGAACCCGAGAAGCUUGCCGGAGGGGACUCCAAACACACACUUCUCGGGGUUCAGCUUGAGGUUGAUCUUGCGCAAAUUUGCAAAUGUUUCGUCUAAAUCUUGAAUCAGGGUCGCCUUGUCCUUGCUCUUGACCACUAUGUCAUCCAUGUAGGCUUCCACAUUUCUGUGCAUUUGCGGCUCAAAAGCAUGAUGGACUACCCUUGCAAAUGUUGACCCAGCAUUCUUUUAACCGAAAGGCAUCCGUACGAAACAGUACGUGCCACACGGGGUGAUGAAUGCGGUCUUCUCCUCAUCCUCUUCUGCCAUAAAGAUCUGAUGGUAUCCUGAGUAUGCAUCAAGAAAUGAAAGCAAAUCACAUCCGGCCGUGGAGUCAACAAUCUGAUCGAUGCGCGACAAGGGAAAUGGGUCUUUGGGACAAGCUUUAUUGACAUCAGUAAAGUCGAUACAAAGCCUCCAUUUCCCAUUAGCCUUGCGUACGACAACAGGAUUGGCCAACCACGUAGGAUGGAGCACUCCUCUGACAAGGCUUGCUGCUUCCAAUUUCUUGAUUUCUUCUGCGACGAAUUCUUGGCGCUCCACUGCCUCCUUCCUGACUUUCUGCUUGACGGGCCGUGCAUGAGGACAGACGGCCAGGUGGUGCUCAAUUACUUUCCUGGGAACACCGGGGAUGUCAGACGGUUGCCACGCAAACACGUCGACGUUCGCCCGCAGGAAAGCAACGAGCGCGCUUUCCUAUUUAGGGUCGAGAGUGGCACUGAUGGUGAAGGUACCACCAGUGCCGUCCUCCUUGGCGGACACCCUCUUGGUCUCAGGUGGAUCUGCCAUUGCCUUCUUACACUUGCCGGUGGAGCUCGAUGGUGCGUCCUCGACGGCAGCGCAACACUCCAAAGAGGUGCACUUGCCGGAGUGGGCAUCAGAACUCUUGCCGGACUUGGUCUUCUUCUUCCCCCCGGGAGCUUCAGCGGCAAGUGACUUGCGAUCUGUUGCGGCUGUUGCUUCACGGUAGAUCUUGUCGGCGCAGAUAAGAGCAUCCUUCUUGUCGCCAGGGACAGAGAUGACGCUUAUCGGGCCUGGCAUCUUCAGUAUGUUGUAUGCAUAGUGAGAGGCUGCCAUGAAUUUGGCAAGUGCUGGACGGCCGAGUAUCCCAUUGUAAGGAAAUGGAAAGUCAGCAACGUCAAAAGUGACCCUCUCAGUCCUGAAGUUCAACUCGCUGCCAAAUGUUACCGGCAACGUGAUCUUUCCCUUCGGCUUGCUCCUUCCCGGGUUGAUUCCUUAGAAUGUGCCAGUCUCUUCGAGCUCGCUGUCAGGGAUCUGGAGUUUCUGGAGCACCGCGGAGGAGAUCAGGUUCAAGCCGGCCCCGCCGUCAACUAGCAUCUUAGUGACCUUGAGGUUGCGGAUAGUUGGUGAAACCAACAUCGGCAAACACCCGACCGUAGUUAUGCGAUCAGGGUGGUCCUCAAUAUCAAAGAUGAUAGGCGUGCUGGACCAUUUCAGAGGCCUGCGUGACUCGACGGGUGGUUCUGCCGCAUUGAGUUCCCGCACCCAUUGUUUGAGCUGGUGGUGUGAAGUAUGCAGAGAAGCACCGCCGUCAACGCACAGGACCUCUGUGGCUUUCUGGAACUCCUGCUCAUCGGUCUCGUCAUCAUCCAUGUCUUCGUCGUUGUUGUCAUCUUCAUCCUUGUCGCGGCCGCGGGGAGGUCUGUCUCCUUGCCGCUGCUUGGCCUUGCCGCGGCGUCCUCCUCGGCCGGGACGUUUCUUGCCGGAUCCUCCAGCACCUUCCUGGGCCUUCUCCUUGUCGCGUCGCUCGUAUUCAGCUUUCUGUUGCUCAACAAGCUGCUCGACUUUCUUGCAGCUCUGGAGGUCAUGGCCCUUGGUGCGGUGGAUCUUGCAGUACUGCUUGUUGGUGCCGUCCUGCUUGUCGGCGACCGCCACAGCCUCUGCGGCAAUAUCCUUGCCGGAGCCACCAGCUUUGGCUUUCUUGGCGCCACCACCGUUGCUGGACUGCUCAACUACUAGCACCUCUUUGCCUUUCUUCUUCCUGUUAUUCCACCGCCGGUUUUUCCUUGCCCGGGCAUUAUCCUCACUGUCAGAUCCUCCUGCUCCUAUAUUCUCUCCGGGGAGUCUCCUCCCUUCCUCAGCAUGUGCACACUUGUCGGCCAGGGCAUAUAGCUCACUGACGUCUCUGAUCUUGCACAUCGCCAUCUCCUCCCGCAUCCUGCGGUUCCGCACGUUCUGAUGGAACACGCUGAUUACCGCGGCAGGGUGGACAUCUGGGAUGUUGUGCUGCACGCUGCUGAAUCUCUGAAUGUACUUGCGCAGGGGCUCUCCUUCCUUCUGGGCAAGCAUAUGAAGAUUGCUCUCUUGGCCAUGAGGCUUGUGGCCGCCUGUAAAGGCGCCGACAAACUGAUGGCACAGAUCUGCCCAGGAAGAUAUGGAGUUAUCCGGCAAGUGCAUGAGCCAGGAUCUGACGUUGGGCUUGAGCACCAGCGGGAAGUAGUUGGCAAGGAUCUUGUCGUCUCGCCCCCCGGCAGCUUGCACCGCAAUGGUGUAGAUGCUGAGGAACUCCGACGGGUGCGUCUUGCCGUCGUACUUCUCCGGUACAUCUGGCUUGAAAUUUUUCCUACUGGGCCACUGGACUUGCCGCAGCUCACGAGUGAAUGCAGGGUAACCUACCACGUACGGCAAGUCACCUGGUUCCCCUGGCACAUGCAUGUCGACAGAAGGCCCAGCGCGCUGGUCGGAUUGACGCCGCGCUUCUCUUCGUUGCUCGAUGCGAGUUCGAGCAUCUUCUUGCUGUCGAUCGUGAAGAACUUGGCGCUGAUCGCGACAAGCUCGUGGAUCCGACGAUGCGGUGGAGUCGCUGUCGAGGUGGAUCCGGCGAGUCGGCGAUCUUGGCCUUCGGGGUAGAGAGUGCAUGGUGGUUGCACCCCCACUAGUUUCGUCACCACCGGCUCGUGCCUGGCAGUCCUGCCGCGGCAGCGAUGUAUUCGGCUGCCGCGGAGUGUCGCUGUUGGCGUAGCCGAUGAGACUCUGAAUGGUGGCCCUCCAUUCGUCGAUCUUGUCCGACGUCGGAGGGUAAUCCAGGAGUAGUUGAUCUCGCGCCAAAGCUUCUGCUGGAGUGGUGGGCGGCAGUGGCGGAUGGCGUGAGGAGCGGGAUAUGCUUGGACUUCUAACUAUGUUAGAAGGAGCAGUAUCCCGUCCAGGUGACCGUGUCUCGCUCAUGCCGGCACGUUGACGUGCAUGCUGGUCUUGAGCGCCCCGGGAUCCACCAACUUGAUCUUGGUCCAACAAACGUAUGGUACUGCGAAUAUCAUGACACUGUCGGUCUUGCGCCUCCUGAGAUGGGCGUGGAAUAUGCACGGACGUCGAGGUCUGCGCCGCCUUGCCCUUGGACCUGGCAGCGUCGUGAGCUCCCUCGUCGAUGUCCGUUCUUCCGCCGGCGUCUACCCCACCACCCGUUUGCUCCGGUGGCGGUGGGAUCGACGUGGACGGAACAGCUGCCUCCGAAGCCUUCUUCUUUGGUGGCAUGUCGAUGAAGAAAAUGAAGAUCUAGCUCGGGUGCACGCCGGAUCAGUGUCACACAAUCUGGACGCCCCCUACCUGGCGUGCCAAAGAUGUCGGAAACUGAUCCACGAACACCUAUGGGGACCGGCAGACCGAGCCCCUUUCGGUUCGGCGGGGGGCGGAGGUCGCACGAAGAGCAGAUCGAGGCAAAGCACACGAGCAGUUUACCCAGCUUCGGAGCUCUUCGGAGAGAUAACACUCCUACUGAUGCUUGUCUGGUUGUAUUGAGCUCUUGCUCGGGAGCGCGGAGCGCUACAGUAUACACAAGACCGAGCGUGAGUGUGUUUUUGGCUUCCAACUAAGCCGAACCCCCUUUACGUUGCGCGUGGGCCUCCUUUUAUAUGCUCAAGGGGUCACCGACAGGUGGUAACGUAAACAAGGGUAAAAACAUAAAAGAGAGAGGUGGUUGGUACAGCUACCUGUACAGUGUAUCCUACCUAACCCUGAUGGCAGGGGACAAGGGCAUUAAAUGCCCGUCUGUGUCGCCCAAAACAGUGCAGAAAAGGACCGUCAGGGGCGCCACCGCUUGCCACGAUGGUGAUCUUGUCAGCAUCGCAUGCCACCGCGCACCGCUGGCUGCACAGCCUCCCGCCACGCGCGCCUGGAAAGGCCCCCAGGGCGACACGUUGGUGGAUGCGCUGGAGCGUGGGCACAGAGUGGCCGCUUGCCGCGGCAAGUGCCUUGCCGCGGUCGUUGUCUUGUCGCGCUCGGAAGCUUGUCGCUCACCGGGCCUUGCCGGGACGCGUGGCGCGUCGCGGCAAGUUCCCUGAGAUGCCUUGGUUGGCCUUCCCGGCAAGCUCCUCUUGCCGGGGCCUUGUCUCCUUGACUUGAACACGUUCUUGAAUGGCUCCAAAGGAGUCAUGGAGGACCUUGGCGGUCACCCGGCAAGCCCUUGCCGCGGGGCGCUGCAACUGCCCGUGCACAAGUUCAGGGUACUAGGGUACCCCUACUCUAGUACACCGACAAACAGAAAGCUCUGGCCUGUCCUUUGAUACGUCUCCAACGUAUCUAUAUUUUUGAUUGUUCCAUGCUAUUAUAUUAUCCAUCUUGGAUGUUUUAUAUGCAUUUAUAUGAUUUUUGGGACUAACUUAUUAACCUAGAGCCCAGUGCCAGUUUCUGUUUUUUCCUUGUUUGUGAGUAUCGCAGAAAAGUAAUAUCAAACGGAGUCCAAUUGACCUGAAAAUUUAUGGAGAUUAUUUUUGGACCAGAAUAAUCCACGGAGCAUCGGAGAUGGACCAGAAGAGUCCCGAGUCAACCACGAGGGUGGAGGGCGCGCCCUACCCCCUGGGCGCGCCCCCUUCCUCGUGGCUGACUCGGGGACCCCUCUCACUUGUUCCUGACGCCAAUACCUCUUAUAUACCCCCAAACUUUCAGAACAGAACCUAGAUCGGGAGUUCCGCCGCCGCAAGCCUCUGUAGCCACCAAAAACCAAUCGGGGCCCUAUUCCGGCACCCUGCCGGAGGGGGGAUCCAUCACCGGUGGCCAUCUUCAUCAUCUCUGCGCUCUCCAUGAUGAGGAGGGAGUAGUUCACCCUCGGGGCUAUGGUUAUGUACCAGUAGCUAUGUGUUUGAUCUCUCUCUCUCUCUCUAUCUCUCGUGUUCUUGAUUUGGAACGAUUUUGAUGUACCGCGAGUUUGCUAUUAUAGUUGGAUCUUAUGAUGUAUCUCCCCCUCUACCUUCUUGUAAUGGAUUGAGUUUUCCCUUUGAAGUUAUCUUAUCGGAUUGAGUAUUUAAGGAUUUGAGAACACUUGAUGUAUGUCUUCCAUGUGCUUAUCUGUGGUGACAAUGGGAUAUUCACGUGAUCCACUUGAUGUAUGUUUUGGUGAUCAACAUGCAGGUUCCGUGACCUUGGGAAUCUAUGCAUAGGGGUUGGCACACGUUUUCUUCUUAACUCUCCGGUAGAAACUUUGGGGCAGUCUAUGAAGUUUUUUGUGUUGGUUUGAAUAGAUGAAUCUGAGAUUGUGUGAUGCAUCUCGUAUAAUCAUACCCGUGGAUACUUGUGGUAACAUUGGAGUAUCUAGGUGACAUUAGGGUUUUGGUUGAUAUGUGUCUUAAGGUGUUAUUUUACUACGAACUCUAGGGCCGUUUGUGACACUUAUAGGAAUAGCCCAAUGGAUUGAUCGGAAAGAAUAACUUUGAGGUGGUUUCAUACCCUACAAUAAUCUCUUCGUUUGUUCUCUGCUAUUAGUGACUUUGUAGUGACUCUUUGUUGCACGUUGAGGGAUUGUUAUAUGAUCUAAUUAUGUUAUCAUUGUUGAGAGAACUUGCACUAGUGAAAGUAUGAACACUAGGCCUUGUUUCGAAGCAUUGCAAUACCGUUUUUUGCUCACUUUUGUUACUAGUUACCUUGCUGUUUUUAUAUUUUCAGAUUACAAAAACCUAUAUCUAUAUCCAUAUUGCACUUGUAUCACCAUCUCUUCGCCGAACUAGUGCACCUAUACAAUUUACCAUUGUAUUGGGUGUGUUGGGGACACAAGAGACUCUUUGUUAUUUGGUUGCAGGGUUGUUUGAGAGAGAUCAUAUUCAUCCUACGCCUCCCACGGAUUGAUAAACCUUAGGUCAUCCACUUGAGGGAAAUUUGCUACUGUCCUACAAAACUCGGCGCUUGGAGCCCCAACACGAGUCUACAAGAAUGUUGCGUAGUAGACAUCAAGUUCUUUUCUGGCGCCGUUGCCGGGGAGGUUAGUGCUUGAAGGUAUAUCUUUAGAUCUUGCAAUCAAAACUUUUAGUUUCUUGUUUUAUUACUAGUUUAGUUUAAAAGAAACCUGCACAAAAAAUGGAAUUGAGGUUGCCUCAUAUGCUUCAUCUUUUUAAUGUCUUUCGUGAAAAUGAUGGAAAGGAAAAUUUUGCCAAAGUGUUAGAAGAAGAAUGCAUUAAAAUGUUUGGCACAAAAUAUUUGAAUGAUGAGCAUGAUUGCAAUGUUGUUAGUGCGAAUUCUUUGAAUAUCCAUGAUGCUAAUGAUAUGCAAAGCUACAAGCUUGGGGAUGCUAUGUUUGAUGAAUAUGAUAUUUUUAGUCCCCCAAGGUUUGAUGAGAAUAUUUAUUAUGAUGAUAGCAUGCCUCCUAUUUAUGAUGAUUAUAUUGAUGAAAGUAGGUUUGGAAGAGUGUCAACUUUAGGUAAUGAUCCCACUAUUUUGGAGGGUGUUGAAUCUUAUUGUGAUAAUUAUGAAAGUGGAUUUGGACAGGUCAUGACUUUAUUUAGUGAUGAAUCCACUAUUUCAGAAGAGGUUCCAAUUGAUUAUGAGAACAAAGUUGCUAUCUAUGCUGAUUAUUGUGAUGACAUGUAUGCUAUAAAGAAUAAUGAUAACCAUGAAACUAGUCAACAUGAUUUUAAUUUUCAAUUGGAUUAUGCCUCACAUGAUAGUUAUUUUUGUUGAGUUUGCUCCCAUUAUUAUUCAUAAGAAUAAUUUUGCUUAUGUGGAGAGUAAUAAAAUUUAUAUGCUUGUGGAUCAUGAAAAGAAUGCUUUAUGUGAUAGUUAUAUUGUUGAAUUCAUUCAUGAUACCAUUGAAAAUUAUUAUGAGGAAGGAAUAUAUGCUUGUAGGAGUUGCAAUAAUACAAAGUUUCCUCUCUAUGUGUUGAAAAUCUUGAAGAUUUGCUUGUUUUACCUUCCUAUGCUAGUUGAUUCUUGUUCCCAUAAGUUGUUUGCUCACAAAAUCCCUAUGCAUAGGAAGUGGGUUAUACUUAAAUGUGCUAGUCAUAUGCUUCAUGAUGCUCCCAUUAUGUUUCAAUUCUUAUCUUUUAUGUGAGCAUCAUUGACAUCAUCAUGCCUAGCUACAAAGGCAUUAAAGAAAAGCGCUUGUUGGGAAAUAACCCAAUAUUUACCCCUACUGUUUUUGUGUCUUCACAUGAUUAUACUAAUGUAGUAAUCAUGUUUUAUAGAUUUUGUUUCAAUAAAGUGCCAAGUAAAGACUUUUGGAUAGUGUGGAUGAUAGUUGACUUGAUUCUGUGCAAAAACAGAAACUUUUGCGCUAAGUCCAGGAAAUUUGAAAAUUCACCGGAACAUGAUUUUGAUCUGACUUUUUUUACACAAGUUUGAUAUACAAAUUGCCUAUAUUUUCCUAAUUUUUCAGAAUUUUUGGAGUUACAGAAGUAUGGAAUGUUUCCGGAUUACUACAAACUGUUCUGUUUUUGACAAAUUCUGUUUUCUAUGUGUUGUUUGCUUAUUUUGAUGAAUCCAUGAGUAGUAUCGGAGGGUAUGAACCAUGUAGAAGUUGGAAUACAGUAUAUACAAAACCAAUGUGAAUUUAUAAUGAGUUCACAAUAGUACCAUAAAGUGGUGAUUUGCUUUCUUAUACUAACGGAUCUCAUAAGAUUUUCUGUUGAGUUUUGUGUUGUGAAGUUUUCAAGUUUUGGUUGAAGAUUCGAUGGACUAUGGAAUAAGGAGUGGCAAGGGCCCAAACUUGAGGAUUCCCAAGGCACCCCAAGUUAAUAUUCAAGGACAACCAAGAGCCUAAGCUUGGGUAUGCCCCGGAUGGCAUCCCCUCUUUCGUCUUUGUUCAUCGGUAACUUUACUUGGGGCUAUAUUUUAUUCACCACAUGAUAUGUUUUUUUCUUGGAGCGUCAUUUCAUUUUGUUUAUAUUUGCUUGAUUUUAUUCAAAGACAUUUUUUAUAUCUUUUAGUUCAAUUAAAAAGUCAAGUAUAGCCUUUACCAUGCUUAUUUUACAAGUCUAUAUGUUGCUGUUUGGAAAACACAAAGUUUGCUGUUAUGUUUUGAAUAUUGGUGAAUAGUAAGAACAUGAUAAAAUCUUGAAAUUUUGACACAAUUGUUAACAACAAAUUUUCUACAGUGUGGUAAUUUUCAGAAUUUUUGGAGUUAGGGAAGUAUGAUUCCUCUUGCAUUCUUUACAGGCUAUCCUGUUUAGACAGAUUGUUGUUAUGGUUGCAUUGUUUGCAUAUAUUUGCUUGUUUAAUGAUUCUUUUGAGGAUAUGAGUGUUAAAUAUGCAGAGGAAUUUAGUAGUCAAUAUCAAAUAAUAAUUUUAGUGAUUUGCUACAGUAGAUAAUGAUAAGGUUAUUGCGUUGAUUUAUACUAACUUAUCUCCCGAGUUCUUGUUGAGUUUUGUGUGGAUGAAGUUUUUUAAGAUUUAGGGAAACCGUGAUAUAAAAGGAAUUAAGGAGACACAAAAGCUCAAGCUUGGGGAUGCCCAAGGCAUCCCUAAUUAAUAUUUCAAGAAAUCUCAAGCAUCUAAGCUUGGGCAUCCCACCUUUCUUCUUCGACAACUAUCGGUCAUUUUUGGUUGAGCCUAAGUUUUUGCUUCUUCACAUGAUAUGUGCUAUCCUUGCAAUGUCAUUUUAUUUUGUUUUGCUUGUUGUUUGAAUAAUAUGCCAAGAUCUGAAAUUCUUAAAUGUUAGAGAGUCUUCACAUAGUUACACAAUUAUCCGAUUACUCAUUGAUCUUCACUUAUAUCUUUUGGAGUAGUUUCUCGUUUGCUCUGGUUCUUCACUUAUAUCAUUUAAGAGCACGAAGAUGGUUUUAUAUUGAAGAAAUUGAUGAACUCUCAUACUUCACUUAUAUUAUUUUGAGAGUCUUAAACAACAUGAUAAUUUGCUUUGGUUAUGAAUUUAGUCCUAAUAUGAUAGGCAUCCAAGAGGGAUAUAAUAAAAACUUCCAUAUAAAGUUGAAUACUAUGAGAAGUUUGAUUCCUUAUGAUUGUUUUGAUAUAUAAAGAUGGUGAUAUUAGAGUCAUGCUAGUGAGUAGUUGUGAAUUUGAGAAAUACUUGUGUUAAGGUUUGUGAGUCUCGUAGCAUGCACGUAUGGUGAACCGUUAUGUAACGAAGUUGGAGCAUGAGGUAUUUAUUGAUUUUCUUCCUUAUGAGUGGCGGUCGGUGACGAGCGAUGGUCUUUUUCUACCAAUCUAUCCCCCUAGGAGCAUGCACGUAGUACUUCGUUUCUAUGACUAAUAGAUUUUUUCAAUAAGUAUGUGAGUUCUUUAAGACUAAUAUUGAGUCCGUGGAUUAUACGCACUCUCACCCUUCCACCAUUGCUAGCCUCUCUAGUGCCGCGCAACCUUUGCCGGUACCAUACACCCACCAUACACCUUCCUCAAAACAACCACCAUACCUACCUAUUAUGGCAUUUCCAUAGCCAUUCCAAGAUAUAUUGCCAUGCAACUUGCCACCGUUCCAUUUAUUAUGACACGCUUCAUCAUUGUCAUAUUGCUUUGCAUGAUCAUGUAGUUGACAUCGUAUUUGUGGCAAAGCCACCGUUCAUAAUUCUUUCAUACAUGUCACUCUUGAUUCAUUGCACAUCCCGGUACACUGCCAGAGGCAUUCACAUAGAGUCGUAUUUUGUUCUAAGCAUUGAGUUAUAAUUUUUUGAUUGUAAGUAAGUAGAAGUGUGAUGAUCAUCAUUAUUGGAGCAUUGUACCAUGUGAGGAAAUAAAAAAAGAAAAAAGAAGAGGCCAAAGAAGCCAAGAAAAAAAGAGAAAAAAGAAAAAAAAUGAGAGAAAAAAAGAUAAGGGGAAAUGUUACUAUCCUUUUUCCACACUUGUGCUUCAAAAUAGCACCAUGAUCUUCAUGAUAGAGAGUCUCUUAUUUUGUCACUUUCAUAUACUAGUGGGAAAUUUUCAUUAUAGAACUUGGCUUGUAUAUUCAAAUGAUGGGCUUCCUCAAAUGCCCUAGGUCUUCAUGAGCAAGCAAGUUGGAUGCACACCCACUUAGUUUCUUUCUGAGCUUUCAUAAACUUAUAGCUCUAGUGCAUCCGUUACAUGGUAAUCCCUACUCACUCACAUUGAUAUCUAUUGAUGGGCAUCUCCAUAGCCCAUUGAUACACCUAGUUGAUGUGAGACUAUCUCCCUCUUUUUUUCUUCUCCACAACCACCAUAUUCUCUUCCACCUAUAGUGUUAUGUCCAUGGCUCAUGCUCAUGUAUUGCGUGAAAGUUUAAAAGGUUUGAGAACAUCAAAAGUAUGAACAAUUGCUUGGAUUGUCAUCAGGGUUGUGCAUGAUUUGAAUAUUUUGUGUGAUGAAGAUGGAGCAUAGCCAGACUAUAUGAUCUUGUAGGGAUAAGCUUUCUUUGGCCAUGAUAUUUUGAGAAGACAUAAUUGCCUCGUUAGUAUGCUUGAAGUAUUAUCGUUUUUAUGUCACUAUUAAACUUUUGUUUUGAAUCUUAUGGAUCUGAAUAUUCUUGCCACAAUAGAGAAGAUUACAUUGAUAAAUAUGAUAGGUAGCAUUCCACACUAAAAAUUCUGUUUUUAUCAUUUACCUACUCAAGGACGAGCAGGAAUUAAGCUUGGGGAUGCUUGAUACAUCUCUAGCAUAUCUAUAUUUUUGAUUGUUCCAUGCUAUUAUAUUAUCCAUCUUGGAUGUUUUAUAUGCAUUUAUAUGCAUUCAUAUGCUAUUUUAUAUGAUUUUGGGACUAACCUAUUAACCUAGAGCCCAAUGCCAGUUUCUGUUUUUCCUUGUUUUUGAGUAUUGCAGAAAAGGAAUAUCAAACGGAGUCCAAUUGACCUGAAAAUUUACGGAGAUUAUUUUUGUACCAGAAGAAGCCCACGGAGCAUCAGAGAUGGACCAGAAGAGUCCUGAGUCAACCACGAGGGUGGAGGCGCACCCUACCCCCCUCGGCACGCCCCCUACCUCGUGGCUGACUCGGGUACCCUCCUGACUUGUUCCCGACGCCAAUACCUCCUAUAUAUCCUCCAACUUCCAAAGCAGAACCUAAAUUGGGAGUUCCGCCACCGCAAGCCUCUAUAGCCACCAAAAACCAAUCGGGGCCCUGUUCCGGCACCCUGCCGGAGGAGGGGACCCAUCACCGGUGGACAUCUUCAUCACCUCGGCGCUCUCCAUGAUGAGGAGGGAGUAGUUCACCCUCGGGGCCGAGGGUAUGUACCAGUAGCUAUGUGUUUGAUCUCUCUCUCUCUCUCUCUCUCUCUCUCUUGUGUUCUUGAUUUGGCACGAUCUUGAUGUAUCGCGAGCUUUGCUAUUAUAGUUGGAUCUUAUGAUGUUUCUCCCCCUCUACCUUCUUGUAAUGGAUUGAGUUUUCCCUUUGAAGUUAUCUUCUUGGAUUGAGUCUUCAAGGAUUUGAGAACACUUGAUGUAUGUCUUGCAUGUGCUUAUCAAUGGUGAAAAUGGGAUAUUCACGUGAUCCACUUGAUGUAUGUUUUGGUGAUCAACUUGCGGGUUAUGUGACCUUGUGAACUUAUGCAUAGGGGUUGGCACACGUUUUCGUCUUGACUCUUCGGUAGAAACUUUGGGGCACUCUAUGAAGUUCUUGUGUUGGUUUGAAUAGAUGAAUCUGAGAUUGUGUGAUGCAUAUCGUAUAAUCAUACCCGCGGAUACUUGUGGUGACAUUGGAGUAUCUAGGUGACAUUAGGGUUUUGGUUGAUAUGUGUCUUAAGGUGUUAUUUUACUACGAACUCUAGGGCUGUUUGUGACACUUAUAGGAAUAGCCCAAUGGAUUCAUCGGAAAGAAUAACUUUGAGGUGGUUUCGUACCCUACAAUAAUCUCUUCGUUUGUUCUAUCUUAUUAGUGACUGUCGGUGUCAAAACCAGCGGAUCUCGGGUAGGGGGUCCCGAACUAUGCGUCUAGGCGGAUGGUAACAUGAGACAAGGGACACGAUGUUUUUACCCAGGUUCGGGCCCUCUCGGUGGAGGUUAAACCCUACUCCUGCUUGAUUAAUAUUGUUGAUAUGGGUAGUACAAGAGUAGAUCUACCAUGAGAUCAGAGAGGCUAAACCCUAGAAGCUAGCCUAUGGUAUGAUUGUUGUUCGUCCUACGGACUAAAACCCUCCGGUUUAUAUAGACACCGGAGAGGGCUAGGGUUACAUAGAGUCGGUUACAAUGGGAGGAGAUCUACAUAUCUGUAUCGCCAAGCUUGCCUUCCACGCCAAGGAAAGUUCCAUCCGGACACGGGACGAAGUCUUCAAUCUUGUAUCUUCAUAGUCCAGGAGUCCUGCCAAAGGUCAUAGUCCAGCUAUCCGGACACCCCCUAAUCCGGGACUCCCUCAGUAGCCCCCGAACCAGGCUUCAAUGACAAUGAGUCCGGCACGCAGAUUUGUCUUCGGCAUUACAAGGCGGGUUCUUCUCCAAAUUCCAUAUACCUGAUGAAUAGUGUCCGGCUUCUGGUGAAUGUUGCGCUCCUUGGCUUCUGCGCCCAAUAAUGGCCAUCUUCCACGUGUCAAACGAAUGCAAAAAGCCAGGGUGUUUUUUCAUUUACCCCCUAGCUGCGCAAACGAGCUGCCCAUAAAAGAGACGUGGAUUUUAGAUCCAAAUCGCACCAUAUUCCCUCCGCGAGCAUUCAUCAGAGCGCAUUCGACAGAGAUCCAUUCCAUCAUGGCCAGACGAUGCAGCUCCUCCUCUCGCGCCCCCAUCCCUCGGCACAGCGAGCUAGUGGCGCUCCAAGCCAAGGGGCUUCUCCCCCAGCCUACAUGGUCCCGGUUCGAGCCGGGCUUGCCACCUAUAAUGGUGGAGAGCAAGCGGAGAGCGUCCCCAAUCCCUCCAAAGGAGAGCGGGUAUGCCUUGUCCCUUAUUUGAUAAGAGGGCUCGGAUUACCAAUUCAUCCAUUUCUCCGGGGGCUCCAGGAGUUCUACGGCCUCAAGUUGCACAACCUUACGCCUGCCUCCAUAUUGCAUAUUGCGGGCUUCGUAGCCCUUUGCGAGCUGUUUUUGGGCAUUGAGGCUCAUUUCGCACUGUGGAAGAAGCUGUUCUGCCUUGUGCCCCGUUCUUAGGAGGGGUCGAUAUAUCAAGUGGGCGGAGCCGAACUGUGGCGCAUCGCCGGGACCGGAUAUCUAUCCGGAACCCCAAAGAAGGCGUCCGAAGACUGGCCUUCAGAAUGGUUUUAUAUAGAAGACGUCCCCCUGCCGGACCCUGUUCGGAUCAGCCUCCCUGAGUUCGAUAAUGCUCCUUUGAAGGAGCACCUAAGCUGGCGUCCAUGGAGCCAUUAGAAGGAAAAUGACAGGGACGUCCUUUACCUGAUGAGCCAGAUAAGGUUAUUAGCUCAUUCCGGAUUGACCAUGAUCGAGGUCAUGGCCACAUGCAUUAUGCGGGGGGUGCAGCCACUUCAGUAUAGAGGCCACCCCAUGUGGGAUUUCAACGGGGAGGACGAUGCCACCCGGUGCGUCCGUAAGGGGCCGGAAUCGGUUGCCGCUCUAAUAAAGAUCUUGUCUGCUUUGUACAAGGGAGAAGAGGAGGAAUUCCUCCGCGUCAACCCACGGGGCGGAUUUUCUAUGUAUAAUCCUCCAAGCUGGGUAAGCGGGAACUUUCACUCGCCCAUCCGUUUCAUAUUCCCAUAGUUAAGUAUUCAGCCUAGCAAUUUCAACGCAGGAGCUAUGCCAGGCUGUAAAGGAGAUAAACAGCCCUCCUCCACAACCCGAGGACCCGGAACGGUCCUUCGACCCGGACUCCCAAGAGGACCCGGACUUAUCUGUGGAGCUGACCGAUGGGGUGUUUCAUCAAUUGAGCAAGGACAACACCUUAGUGGCCAUUACGGCCGAUUAUCCCGGACUACUUCCAGCCUCAUAAGUAACCGAGACCGAAGUCCUCGUACUUUUAAGAUGAUCUACCCGUGCUUAUUUUUAACCACCGUAUACCAAUGGCGUUUUUGCAGGGGAAGUCCUUGAGGCGGAGGGCCGAGCCUGCGGUGGCUAGCCAACAAGGGGCAUCAAGGCCCGGCAAGCUGAAAAGAAGUGCGGUCCGGAUUGAUACGCCGGCGCAGCGGUAUGGCGCGCGAUUUUAUUCCAGGUUUUAUUCCCUCAAGGUAUACUAACACUCAUGCUCUCUUCAGGAAAAAGAGCGCUCGCCGGACUAUAUCCGGAGAGGUUGCCAAUCGUGCCUCCACCGGCCAGGCUCCAAGGCCGGGACCGGAAGCGGAGGCAAACACGAGGCGUGCACCGGGCGCUCCUCCGACAGAGGAUGCGGACGAGCUGUCUGCCACCAAUUCCGAGGUGGAGAGUGCCAUGAACCACAGGCGUUGCCGGACAGUUCUUUGUGACGCUUGUUUCUCCCAAGAGGCAUUGGAUGCCUUUAAUACGGGAGAUGCGUACCUCCGUGCCGCUCAAAAUGGUCUAGCCAGAGUCACAGAGCAGUAUGUAAAAGACAUACGGGUGAGAAAAUUUGAUGGUUAUAUAUGUCAGUAGCCCCCGAGACUUGAAAUAGUUAGAAUAACUAAUUUAAGGAUCAUUUGUUAUACAAGAUCUUAUAGAAAAGAAUACCCAACUGUCCCAGGAGCUAGAAGAGUGCAAAGCCCAACUUGAGGCCGCACUAGCCGCGGCGGGGGAGACCAAGGAGACCCCCUCUGGUAAUAUAUGCUUCGAAAGAUAAGUAUGUUGUGAAAGACAGCAUGUGUGCAAAUCUGACAAUAACAUUGCAGAUGGCACCGGAGUGGAUCCGGACAAGCAACAACUCUUGCGCCGGUUAAAGGCCGGCGAGAGCGUGCUUACGAGGGUGAGGCAAGAGAAGAAUAAGCUCCAAGAUGCCAACACCCAGCUGGGCGAGAAACUAAAGGAUGUUCGUGCUCAGCUGUCGGACUCCGUGAAGGAGAAUCGGCGGCUUCGACGCGACAUUUUUAGUACGUGCUUGAACGAACUUCGAAAAGAGUUCGGCGAGGAAGUCGAUUGACAGAGUUAUGUCUGUAGGUAUGCUGACAGGUCGGCCUGCCGAGGAAAUGUCCGGUUCUAUGGGUGACCUUCUUCCUGAGCUCUUACAACUGCACGAACGUGUUCGGCAGGUAGUGCAAGGCGUCGUCCAGGCCUUGUGGCCAUCCGUCUCCAUGCCCGAAGGCCUUGGAGAGCUUGCAGAGAAGCUAAAGGGAGCGCGGCGGCGCUUCCUAUUAUGGAAGAUAUCGGCCUGCCGUCAAGGCGCUAGGGAGGCCUGGGCCAUGGUGAAGACGCGGUACACGAAGGCCGACCCAAACCACAUGGCCGAGGUCAGACCUGUGGGGCCCGAUGGGAAGGAGAUCCCUGUGAGUUUAGUGUAUGGCCAGGUAGAGUUGGCCGCCAAAUAUUUCCAACAGGACUGUAAACUAAACAACAUGUUGGAUGGUAUUGAAGAGGAAUAUACCCAGUCAAAUUGACUAUCUAAUUUAAAAUGACAUAUAAAAUGCCUUCUAGCCGGAUUGUAGAUCAUUUGUCAUGGCGGACCUUUUCGCUUCAACCUUGGGACCCGAUAGUCCGGAGUGUGUCCGAAUACCCUCUCGGUUAUGUAAGAACCGGGGCAUGCGUGGAGACCAGGCGUAGGGGUUCAUUAGUGCUUGAACAGACAAGUGCCCAACUAGUUAUGUUAUAUUACAUGGUUAGUAAGAAACAUCUUCCAGGGAGAAUAGUUCCGUUAGGGGUUCCUUUCCCUGGGGAGGCACGCCCUAAAGUGCAUGUACGGACUGUGAAAAGAGCAGAAAAGCAUCUGUGGGCGGAUAGAUAAACGAGUGGGAAAUCAUCUUUUAGUUCACCGACCGAAUAUUCCCUUAAGAACACUAGCUUUCGGCUUCACCCAGUCUGAGGUACACAUCCGGCUGACCCGGCAGUAACAAUCGCAGAGGUGCUCCCUUUACCGCCUAGCCGAACAAUCGGGAACGUAGGGGUAAGCACAGGAGCCAAGCAACCCAGCUUGGCCAAAACUUAAGUCAUAUCGAUGCAUAUAAUGGUGAGAAAAAAGGUACAUGCGGAAGUGUGACACAUGUGUUGGGCAUGAGGCCCUGUAUAAACAAGCUUAUGUUAAAGAAGCCCCCAGGUAUGAUGAGCGCGGAUAGCGCGUCAAUUGUGUGCGAACAAGGCGCGAACGAGCCCUUAAAGGCUGUGAAAGAAAAGGAGGGAGAAGUAGAGAAAUAUAAGACAACUAAUGUAUAAUAAAUGGACAGAGGAAGGAGACGAACACAGAGUCCGGCGCUAGGCGUAGAAUCUUCGGAGACGGGCUGCGUUCCAUGGGUUCGGCUCGAGUCAAUUAUCUGAUGCAUCUGCAGACGGUACGCUCCACCAGUGAGGACUUGGUCAAUAAUGAAGGGACCUUCCCAUUUGGGCUUGAUUUUGUCCUUUUUCUUGUCCGGCUGGCGUAGAACUAACUCGCCAACAUUGUAAGUUUUGGCCCGUACUUCUCUGCUUUGAUAUCUUCGAGCCUGCUGUUGAUAGAAUGCUGAACGGGCUUUUGCCACGUCACACUCCUCCUCCAAGGCGUCCAAACUGUCCUGCCGAUCGAGUUCGGCUUCUCUUUCUUCGUACAUGCGCACGCGAGGUGAGUCAUGAAUUAUGUCGCAGGGCAGAACUGCCUCUGUGUCGUAUACCAUAAAGAAUGGUGUGAAUCCGGUUGUGCGAUUCGGAGUGGUCCACAGCCCCCAGAGUACGGAGUCGAGCUCCUCUACCCAGUGCGUGUUAGAUUCCUUGAGGGACUGCACUAAUCUGGGUUUGAUGCCGCUCAUUAUUAGACCAUUUGCUCGUUCGACUUGACCGUUAGUUUGUGGGUGAUAGACUGAAGCGUAGUCGAGCUUGAUGCCCAUAUUUUUGCACCAGAGUUUGACCUCAUCGGCCGUAAAGUUCGUGCCGUUAUCAGUGAUGAUGCUGUGGGGGACGCCUUAAUGGUGUACGACCCCUGAUAUGAAGUCUAUCACUGGUCCGGAUUCGGCCGUCUUAACAGGCUUGGCCUCUAUCCAUUUGGUGAAUUUGUCCACCAUGACCAGUAGGUAUUUUUGCUUGUGGGUUCCUCCUUUAAGGGGUCCAACCAUGUCAAGCCCCCAGACCGCAAAGGGCCAGGUGAUGGGUAUAUUUUGGAGAGCGGUGAGUGGCAUAUGGCUUUGGUUAGCAAAGAGUUGGCAACCGACGCAUCGUUGGACUAAGUCCUGAGCAUCUGCCCGGGCCGUCGGCCAAUAAAAUCCUGUACGGAAGGCCUUGCUUACAAGGGCCCGGGCUGCGGCGUGGUGCUCGCCGAGUCCGGCAUGAAUUUCAGCCAGAAGAUUCCGCCCUUCCUCUUCGGAGAUACACCUUUGAAGGACUCCGGUAGUGCUUUUCUUAUAAAGCUCUCCUUCAUGGACUUUAUAGGCUUUAGAUCGCCGCACUAUGCAGCAUGCCUCGUUUUUGGUCCUUGAGAAGUUCCUGCCCAGUUAGUUAGGCUAGGAAUGGUUCUGUCCACGGGGCAAUGUCUGCCAUUAUUACGUGGGCUGAGGAUGUUACUUCGUUGGCAUAGCCUCCCAUUGUGUCAGAAUGUUCGGUGUCGGGCCGUGCGGUUGGGUCCGGGCUGUUAUUUCCGGAUUCCCCUUCCCAUAGUACGUAUGGCUUGAAUAGCCUUUCCAAGAAAAUGUUGGGGGGGGGGGACUGCAUCGCUCUUUGCGCCGAUGCGUGCCAAGACAUCUGCUGCCUGAUUGUUUUCCCGGGCUAUAUGAUGAAAUUCGAGCCCCUCGAACCGAGUUGACAUUUUUAGGAUGGCGUUGCGAUAAGCUACCAUUUUCGGAUCCUUGGCAUCAAAGUCUCCAUUUAUUUGGGAUAUCGCGAGGUUUGAAUCCCCACGCACCUCUAGGCGUUGGAUGCCCAUGGAGACUGCCAUCUGGAGACCAUGGAGAAGGGCCUCGUAUUCGGCUGCGUUGUUGGAGUCCAUAUACAUUAUCUGGAGUACGUAUUGAACUGUAUCUCCUGUUGGGGACGUCAAAACGAUGCCAGCCCCUAGACCAGCUAACAUUUUGGAGCCGUCGAAGUGCAUGAUCCAGUUGGAAUAUGUGCCGUACUCUUUAGGGAGUUGGGCUUCAGUCCAUUUGGCGACGAAGUCGGCCAAAACUUGCGACUUGAUUGCUCGCCGUGGCUUAUAGGUUAUGUCGAACGGGAGGAGCUCAAUGGCCCAUAUCGCAAUCCAGCCCGUCGCUUCGCGGUUGUUUAUAAUAUCGUUAAUAGGUACUUCGAAGGCUACUGUUAUCGAACACUCUUGAAAGUAGUGUUGCAGCUUCCGGGAUGCCAUAAACACCACGUAUGCUAUCUUCUGAUAAUGCGGGUACCGUGACUUGCAUGGAGUGAGGACAGUGGACACGUAGUAACAUGGUUUUUGAAGGGGGAAUUUGUUUCCGUCCGUUUCUCGUUCGACGACGAGUACUGCGCUGACAACUUGAUAAGUUGCCACAAUGUAUAAUAGCAUUGGUUCGCCGAUGUUGGGCGCGGCCAGGACCGGGUCACUAGCAAGAGUGAUGAUUCCGUUGGGUCCGGGCAUUUUGAGUUUCAUGUACCCGUAAUGGGGUAUAGCUUGAAAAAUUGUGAAUGCCUCUUGUCCUAAUAGAGCAUGGUACCCGCUGCUGAACGGGGCCACUUGAAACGUGACCUCCUCGGACCUGUAAUUAUCCGCGUGCUGAACACCACAUCCAGUGUGAUUUUUCCUGUAUAGCACGCUUCCCGAUUGGGGAUUAUUCCUGUCGGUGUCAAAACCGGCGGAUCUCGGGUAGGGGGUCCCGAACUGUGCGUCUAGGCGGAUGGUAACAGGAGACAAGGGACAUGAUGUUUUACCCAGGUUCGGGCCCUCUUGAUGGAGGUAAAACCCUACUUCCUGCUUGAUUGAUAUUGAUAUUGUGGAUGUUUACAAGAGUGGAUCUACCACGAGAUCAAGGAGGCUAAACCCUAGAAGCUAGCCUAUGGUAUGAUUGUAAUGGUUGUUGUUGUGUCCUACGGACUAGAGCCAUCCGGUUUAUAUAGACACCGGAGAGGGCUAGGGUUACAUAGAGUCGGUUACAAUAGUAGGAGAUCUACGUAUCCGUAUCGCCAAGCUUGCCUUCCACGCCAAGGAAAGUCCCAUCCGGACACGGGACGAAGUCUUCAAUCUUGUAUCUUCAUAGUCUUGGAGUCCGGUCAAUGAUGAUGAUAGUCCGGCCGAUGAUGGUAGUCCGGCUAUCCGGACACCCCCUAAUCCGGGACUCCCUCAGUAGCCCCUGAACCAGGCUUCAAUGACAAUAAGUCCGACGCGUAUAUUGCUUGGCAUUGCAAGGCGGGUUCCUCCUCCGAAUGAUAGAAGAUUGUGAACACCAGGAUAGUGUCCGGCUCUACAAAAUAAAUUCCACAUUCCACCGUAGAGAGAAUAAUAUAUACACGAGUUCAAUCUGCUGACGUUUUUUGCGGCAUGACGUCACGCCACUACCAAGCCAUUACUUGAAUCAUUUUUUACUCUACCACCUCAGCACAUUUAGCGAAGCGGUUUCCUUGGCACGUCUUGUCGAAGCAGAGAUCGUGUUCCCCCUUAAUCCGGGAUUCUCAUCAAUACGGACGUGGGUAACCCAACCGCGCUCGUCGCCACGCCCCCUGUAUCGAAGGCGAGUCCCAAACGGUCACGGAGACGGCUCUCGGUAUUCUCCCUCUUUAUAACGGGACCAAGGCUCGUUUCUUUUCUUCAAUCCUCCAUCGAAUCCUCUCCCCGCUCCAAGUUCCAGCACCUAGAGCUCCAGAUUCGAGCGCUUAGGACCUUCAACGAUGUCCGGUUCCGACCUCCAGGGCCGGUGGAUGCCCUCCUCCGUCACGGAGGAGGACGUGCUAAAGCUGCAGGAGGCCAAGUACCUGGCUUAUGAGAUUUCGUACAGGUUGUCUGCCGAAGGGCAGGCCAUCCCCACCCCCGAGCCCGGCGAGUAUGUCGUUUUUGUAUCCCACCUCCGUCGGGGUUUAGGCUUCCCAAUGGAUCCUUUUGUGAGAGGGCUCAUGUUUUACUAUGGGUUGGAAUUCCACGAUUUGGCUCCGGAGUCCAUCCUCCAUAUUUCCGCAUUUAUUGUCGUCUGCGAAGCCUCCCUCCGCGUCACCCCUCACUUUGGCCUGUGGCUGAAGACCUUCAAUGUGGCACCGAAGAUGAUUGGGGGGCGUCAAGCGGAGUGCGGCGGGGCGGCCAUAAGUAGGAGGGCCGAUGCCCCGUGGCCCGCUGGCUCCUUCCAAGAGGAGCUCGGCCCGUGGCAGCAAGAGUGGUUCUAUAUUACCGUUCCGAGGGGCCGCAGACAAAAGCCGCCGCCCUUAUUCCACCCGGGACCUCCACGAUGGUUGAUGUCAUGGAUCAACCAAGGGCUCAACUGGGGGCCGUCAAAGGACGUGCCCCUAUUGCUGGGCCGGAUUCGAGAUCUCCAAACGAGGGAGGUUGAUAUGGUGGUGGUAAUGCAGGUUAUGCUGAUUAGGCGUCUCCCGCCCUGCAAACGCCGCCCUCUCCGGCUGUGGGAGUUCAAUCCGGAGGGCCCACGGAUUCUUCAACACUUCAUGGGUAUGACACCCCUGGAGUUGUACAAAUUAUUCUUCGGAUCGCAAGAGGCGCGUCCGGAAUUGACCGAGGAUGCUGGCCUAAGCUGCAAUCGCCUGGAUACUCAAGUAAGUAGUUCCAAGUCCGGACAUACCGUUUGUUUGCCUUUCGAUGAUUCGCCUUAUGACCAACUUCUUUCUAAACAGGAGUGGAUAGCGGAAGCAAAAUUGAUAUGGUGUCCGGCCCCCCUCCCCGAGACCGCGCCGGAUUCCGUGCUGGUCCGGAUGCUUGAGGUUGCGCCUCCAGAGGAAGGCAAAGGGGAAAGAAGGAAAGCUACUGCCUCGCCUAAGGAGGCUCUUGAAAGAGGGGGGAUCGAGAAUCCCUCCCUCCAAGGGGAGAAGAGGACUGCCUCCGAGGACCCGGGGGCAAAAGCCCCUAAACGGGGGAAGAAAUCUUCGCCAGAGGGUCCUGCAUCUGGGGAGGCCCCGGCUGCACAAUCUCCCUUAAAGAAUCAGCCCUCCAACGAGCCGUAAGUAGAAAGAAAGGAGUUUUAUAAUAAGGGACAUCCCUAUUUGUGCUUCUGAGGAUAACUAAAGUUUUUACCUUGUAGUUCGGAUCUCCGUCCUUCGCAAAUGAGCUCGUCUUCGGGGGACCUUCGUCCGGAGAUGAUGGAGAGCGAGACGCCUCCGUCCGGGGCGCCGUCAGAUAGGGCGGACGAGCCUGAAGUGUCGUCGCGGAGGGAGCCCCCUUGUUUGGCAAAGCCGGAUAGUUCGGCGCCAACUGGUGUACGGCUGAAGGAUCUGCUUGAGAAGGCGUCUAUCUCAGAAGAUCACCACGCAUUGAUGAGCAUGGUGAUUGAAAGGAUUUCAUCCGCCGAAGGCGGGUUGCAUAAUGCCGUCAGGAGUUUGCUGGCGGGGUUUGAGGUACGUAAAAAUGACACACCUUUUAACAGUUUUGCAUAUAGAAUGCGCCCUGUAUAGAUAGUAGCCCAUGAGACUCAGUAGGUUGUCCAAAUCGACAGCGUGCCGAGGAUCAAAAUUGCAGGUAUAAAUUUCCGCCGUGCCGAUGCAGGUGGCGGGUCAUCCGGGGGCCAGCCGGACUGAUGGAGUUGCUGAACUAAAGCGGCAACUCGCUGUUGCGGAUGCGGACAUCACGCUGGUCAACAGGCGACUUGAUGAGUCGCAAGGUAAGUGUUUCUGUGCGGUCACUUGGUAAGGGAGCCGAAGCCAGCCCCUUACAACAUGUGUGUGAAAUGCAGAUAGUGCUGCUGUUGUGGAGAGCCUUUGGACCGAACUUGCUCAAGCCAAGGAGCAGGCCAGAAGGAGUAAUGCGGCGGCCUCGAGGGCGGCCGAGGAGUUAGCGGCCGACAGGGUCGCACACUGCCGGAGCAGGGAAGAGAUGGCCGAAAUGGUCGUGAAGUUAAAAGAUGCUACCGACCGCAAUGAGGCUCUUGGGAAGGAGCGCCUAGCGGGGCAAGAAGACCUGGGGAAGGCCACCGCCGAAGCCAAGGAUGCCCGCUCUGCAAUGCGGGCUCUAAAGGAAGAGCUGCGCCAGGCCGGAGAUAUUGUAGCUGGCAAGCCUUUUCUGCUGCGCCGAAGGUUUACGGAUCCAAAGUAUGGUCAGCUGGGCCAACUGUGGGGUCCAGAGGACCCUUAUAUGGACUUAGCAGCGAGUGCGGCGGAUGCCGUUGUGCAUUUUCGAAGCCAGAAGGAUCACAAGACGGAAGAGAUGUUUUGGUCUCAAUUCCAUAGUCUGGAGUGUUCACUUCUGCUGACCGACCGUUUGGCCAAGUGGGCUGAGCUAAAUAGGUUGUCCGUGCUUGCUAUGACGGAUAUAGUGACCCAUGUCUGGCCGGAUAGGCCUGAGCUGAAGAGUUACUUUGGCUUAUUGCAGCAAUUUCUUGGGGCGGUGCCGCAUAUCAAGGCGAUGAAGCGGUCGGCCUGCAUAGAGGGUGCGCGGAUGGCACUCGCCCGUGUGAAGACACAUUGGACAGAGAUGGAUGCCAUCGUUGUUGCGACCCCGGGUUCGGACGAUAACCGGUUACCCGCCGAGCACUAUUUUGGCGAAGUGCUGCGUGGUGCUCGUGUAAUAGAGUCGCAGUGCUCAAAAAAUGUUACGUUCAAAUGAACGUUUUUAUGAUGUAAAACAAUAUUUAUGAUGUAGGCGCCUUCUAUACUUGUGCGUUCAAGUAAUAGAAUAUCUCCUAUGCGGCCGUUCAUGUAUACGUGUGUAUAACCUGAAAGAUGGCAGUCGUCGGCUUCAGCCCCCGCGCACAAGGUGCGGGGGUGUUCGCAAAAAAAAGCGCAUUUUCACACUUAAUCCGACGUCUCGGUCCUGUAAAGGAGGUGGUAGCGUAGCAAACAAGGCAACCGGACUAUAAUGUUUUAUCACUUUCACUUAGCCAUGGAGUUCGAGGGUGGGGCUACGACAUAGCCACUGGGGCCACCGCGCUCUCCGAGUUUGGGGCGUGUAUGUGCCUGACCGGGAAACGGCCCUUCGUCAAAGCGGAGGAAUUCUAAACAUUCCCAUGGUCGAUCGAGUGGUUGACCAGUCUCUCGCUGUAUCAUGACAGUCAGUUUUCGGCUUUCUCUACUGAGGUGCUCGCCCAGCCGAACUGGGGCACAAUUGCAGUAGUUCUCCUGGUGCCGCGUUAGCCGGUGAUACGGAACGUAAGGCAGCAGAACACAGGAGCCGGGCAAACCCAACAUUUGACCAAAGACAUGAUUCGGAGCUGAUGCAUAUAAGGCCUAACUCGAGACGUCGAACACUCCCGAAGGUGUUCAGUCUUUACAAUAGCGGGCAAAACAAUGCCCUAAGGCCCUUGUGUCCAGGUACGGGCAAGUUCUUCUGGCACGGCCGAUGCCAAAAUGCCAGUCUCCGCUCUGGUUAUAAUGAGAAACCAGGGGAUUAUAGCAGCAAGAGACAGUAAGAAAGGUUUACGUAGGGUCUUAGUCUGAAAAGAGUCCUUGCAACGGGUCCCUACUGCACGUCUGCGCCUGUGUCUCCGUUGUGCCAUAUCCUGGAUGGGUGUGCACGCUGUUCAUCUGUAAAAAGAGAGGAACUUAGUUUGAAAAGAAAUCGUGUGAGAAAGUGCAUAAAAAUUGAAAAAUAGAUUAACAAAGUUGAGCCUAUGCUAGCUCAUUAUGGCUUAUAUGUACAAACCCUUGUGAAGGGGUGUGCGGCUAGGUAGCCCCUAGCUUAUUUGUUCCGGACUCGUCCAGCCGUGUCCGGGGUCUCAGGCGACCUUUUACUGAAAUGAUGCCACGUGGACCGGGCAUUUUAAGCGUAAGAGACGAGUAAUGUGGUAUUGCAUUGAAGCGGAUGAAAGCUUCCCGUCCCAGUGAUGCUUGAUAGCUACUUUUAAAUGGGGCGACAUGAAAGGUUAGCUUUUCUCGUCAGAAGUUGUUAGGUGACCCGAACACAACUUCAAUAAUAAUGAACCUGUGCACCUGGCGUAAGGGCCUGGCGCCACUCCUUUGAAGGAAGUGCGGCGAUGCCGAAUUGUAGUAGGGUCUAUCCCAACUUGCGGAUUGUGUCUGGAUAUAGCAGGUUUGAGUCACUGCCGUGGUCCAUCAAAACCUGCGUGAAUUGCAGUCCGUCUAUUAAGGGAUCCAAUAUCAGGGCAGUCUAUCCUGCGUUCCAGAUACUUCUAGACUAAUCCAGAUGGUCGAAAGUGAUUGGUUUUGGCAUCCAAUCUCGGUGUUCCGCUGGGAUGGACCGUGCGACACUUGUCUUAGCGAGUGCCGUGUUGGUUUUCCGUACUAUCACAUGAAGCGAGUUUACUGUUUUGACUUCUUGUGGGAAAGUCUUUUGACUUCCGGUGCUCUACUGGUGGGGUUCGUCAUCGUCCUCGAUUGGCGCAUCGAGCCCCUUAUGUCCGGCGUUGAGUCUGCAGGACUGUUUAAAAACCCAACAAUUUCGGUUGGUAUGGUUUGCGGGCCUUCCGGAGGUACUGUUGAUUUGACAUAUCCGAUCUAAGAUUUUGUUUAAAUUUGAUAGCUCGUCGCUGUUGUCCUUAAGAGGCAGUGUUUUAUUGUUUGGCCGCGAGCUUUUGAAUCCGGCGUUGACCGCCGUGCCCUUUGGGAUUUUUUCUUUAUUCCGGCGCUGAUCUUUCCUGCGCCGUGAUUUUCCGUUUCCAUCUCUGAUCUCGGAUGUACUCGGGUCGCUGGUGCUGCAUCUUGCUAGCCAGCUAUCUUCUCCUGCGCAAAAGUGCGUCAUGAGGCUUCUUAGCGCGACCAUUGUUCUUGGCUUCUCUUGGCCGAGGUGUCUGGCGAGCCAUUCGUCUCGGACGUUGUGUUUAAAAGCUGCUAAGGCUUCUGCGUCCGGACAGUCGACUAUUUGGUUCUUUUUGGUAAGGAACCUGUUCCAGAAUUUGCGCGCUGACUCUCCGGGCUGUUGGGUUAUAUGACUCAGAUCGUCUACAUCCGGAGGGCGGACAUAAGUCCCUUGAAAAUUUGCUCUAAACGCAUCCUCAAGCUCUUCCCAACUUCCAACAGUGUUUUCUGGGAGGCUUUUGAGCCAAUGCCGAGCUGGCCCUUUGAGCUUGAGGGGUAGGUAUUUUAUGGCGUGGAGAUCAUCUCCUCUAGCCAUGUGUAUGUGUAGUAUGUAAUCUUCUAUCCAGACUCUAGGGUUUAUUGUGCCGUCGUAUGCCUCUAUGUUUAUGGGUUUGAACCCUGCUGGAAAUUCAUGAUCCAGCACCUCAUCGGUAAAACAUAGCGGGUGUGCGGCGCCCUUGUAUUUGGGUGUGCCGCUGUCUUCGAACACUUGUCGUGUUGUGUUACAUCCUAGGGCCCUAUUUUUUGGCCCGUAGAUGGACCUAGUUGGGCUGUCCGUUUUCCCAGGAUCAUAAGUCGGCUUGUGUGCGGCACCGCUUGUCGCUUUUGGCCUAUCAUCUGGCCGUCUAUCCGGCCAGGCAGCCUCUUUAUUUUUUGACUGUGAGGGUUCUAUGGCUUCCUCGUCAAAUUUUGGCAGCAACUUGCGCUUCGGGUAGCUCUUUGUUUGAUGGCCAUUGCCGUAUUUGUCUGCGGUCUUGAGUACUUUGCUCCACUUCAUUCUGAGUAUGUCUUUCGCUUUUUUGAGCUUCCCUUUUUCCUUCUUCAAACUUCUUGCAGUGGCGACGAGUCUUUUGUGAAGGUUCUUAUGCUCCGGUGUUGUGUCCGGACUAUUGAUUGCUCCGUGAAGUGGUUGAUUAUCCGGUUUGUCUUGUUCGGAUGGUUGCUUGGUUGUAUGUUCGUCGUCCGUUGGUUUGCCCUGCUCUAUCGCUGGGUCGUUAGGAAUGCUGCUUUGAUCGAGGCGGGACUUAGGGCGGCGUCUAUGUCGCCGUUUUGGUUGUUUAUCGGCGGGAUUAUCCUCUGCCGCGUCCCGUUGUUCCUCGUUAUCGCUUCCCUUUGGGGUGUCCACCAUAUGUAUGUCAUGUGACGAGGUGUCCUUCCAGUGCCCUGUGGGCGCUGGUUCUUGAUUGUCUCCGGCAUCGUCGUCCAUACCGUUGAUGUCUUCGGAGUUGUAGUUUAGCAGGUCGGUUAGAUCGUCGAUGGUGGCUACGAAGUGGGUGGUGGGUGGGCUCUGAAUUUCUUCGUUGUCCGCGUCCCAACCAUCCUGGCCGUAGUUCGGCCAGGGCUCUCCGGAUAGUGAGAGAUGCUUCAAAGAAUUUAAGAUAUCGCCGAAGGGUGAGUGCUGAAAGGUGUCCGCAGCGGUGAAUUCCAUGAUCGGCGCCCAAUCGGAUUCGACUGGCAGGGGCGCAGGAGGUUCGGAGUCCGGCAGGGGGUCCGGCACCUCGGAGUCAUGGGCUUUAUGCGGGACAAGGUAAGCGUUCGGCUCCAUCACCGUGGAAGUUGCAGCUCCCGAGGUGGUGUCCAGCCAUCGUCCUCGAUCCGUGCGAUCGGCUCCGGACUAUGGGUCGGAGCGGAUUUGUGUGCGGCCUCCAAGGUGCUGUCCGGCGACAAAGUUAGGUCGUGCCCAUCGUGACAGCGCGGCACGCUCGGCUAUGGCUCAGAUCCGUCGAAGAUCAAGUCCCCGCGGAUAUCGACCGUGAAGUUUAGGCUUCCAAACCUGACCUGACGGCCAGGGGCGUAGCUUUCGAUCUGCUCUAGAUGGCCAAGUGAGUUGGCCCGUAGUGCCAAUCCGCCGAAUACGAAGAUCUGUCCGGGGAGAAAAGUCUCACCCAGGAUUGCGUCAUUGUCGAUUGAAGAGGCCAUCAAGCCUAUCGGUGACGACACAGAGGAACUCUCAAUGAAAGCACCAAUGUCGGUGUCAAAACCGGCGGAUCUCGGGUAGGGGGUCCCGAACUGUGCGUCUAGGCGGAUGGUAACAGGAGACAAGGGACACGAUGUUUUACCCAGGUUCGGGCCCUCUUGAUGGAGGUAAAACCCUACGUCCUGCUUGAUUGAUAUUGAUAUUGUGGAUGUUUACAAGAGUGGAUCUACCACGAGAUCAAGGAGGCUAAACCCUAGAAGCUAGCCUAUGGUAUGAUUGUAAUGGUUGUUGUUGUGUCCUACGGACUAGAGCCAUCUGGUUUAUAUAGACACGGGAGAGGGCUAGGGUUACAUAGAGUCGGUUACAAUAGUAGGAGAUCUACGUAUCCGUAUCGCCAAGCUUGCCUUCCACGCCAAGGAAAGUCCCAUCCGGACACGGGACGAAGUCUUCAAUCUUGUAUCUUCAUAGUCUUGGAGUCCGGUCGAUGAUGAUGAUAGUCCGGCCGAUGAUAGUCCGGCCGAUGAUGGUAGUCUGGCUAUCCGGACACCCCCUAAUCCGGGACUCCCUCAAUUCCUCUAAUGGUUGUGUUGCUGCGCUCAAUGCGGCUCCAGUCUAUUUCCAUUUUUUGAAGGGUUUCCUCAUAAAUGAGGUUCAAUCCGCUGCCACCGUCCAUGAGUACCUUGGUAAGGCAAAAGCCGUCCACUAUUUGACUUAGGACCAAUGCGGCUGGUGCUCGGGCUGUUCGGAAUUUAGGUUCAUCACUGGCAUUAAAGGUAAUAGCCGUGCCACUCCAUGGGUUUAUUGUUGCUACUUGAUAGACUUCGGCAAGGCUGCGGAGUGUUCGUUUCUGCAUAUUAUUUGAUGCAAAAGUCUCAAAGACUGUUAAUACCGUACUGGUAUCCCUGGGCUGGUGCUCUGUGAAUUCUGGAGUUAGAAGCUCCUUGCCACUCCUGGCCACCUGCCGGAGUAUCCAACAAGCUCUAAGGCUAUGAGUUGGUGUGGCGCCUUCUGUACUAUGAAUUUUAUAGGGUCCAUUGAGCCAUCCCUCCAGUACGGUUCCAUGCCCUAUAGAGGGUUUUUGCUUUUUGGUGUUUAACCCAGGUGCUUGGUGAUAAUGCACCCUUUUAUUUCGGACUGGGGUUGUAUUCAGGGCCGGAUUGUCCCAAAAUUUUAUUUCGGUUUUCCAGGCGCUUUCCAUCGCACAGUACUUUCGUACUAUGGAUGCCAAGUCGGCGAAGCAUGUAAUUUCAUGGCGACUUAUGGCAUUGAGGAGUCCGUUGUUCGUGCAAUUAUUGCAGAAGAAUGAAAUUGCAUCCUCCUCGCGGCAGUCCUUUAUCCUGUUCAUAACCAGGAGGAAUCUGGCCCAGUAAGGGUGUACUGUUUCUGCGGGCUCUUGCCGAAUUUGGGAUAGAUCCCUUAUAUUUGGGUAGGUGGGUGGAAUUAAAUCCAGAAUCUCGCCCAAUCUGGGACUCAGGGGCCAAGGAGUUUUCGAACUCGGAAGCUUGGGUUCUUGGAUGUUGUCCAAUGAAUCUAACCCGCUGCCUGACUUUAGGUUCAGGGCUUGAGUGACGUCCUCCCUCCGCGUGUAUCCGGCUUGGAGGGGUCGGGAAUUCGGACAUAACUAGUCCUUAAGAUAGAUGAAGACUCGCCGCAUUGUUCCUCCACCACUGCGAUGUGGUGGGUGACCUGGGGAGAGUUAAUCUCUCUCGGAUCGGGUUUAAGCCCAAUCUGAUCGUAGUCUAUAGCGACUCCCAGGGCGGCGAUGCGAUCCAAGAGCUCGUUUAAGGAAGAGAGCUCCAUCAGAUCUAACUGCUUGGCGAGUUCCGAGUUGACGUAGAGAUUGCUUUCGAUGACCCGAGAAGUCAUCGUUGGCGCGGCGGCCGAACAGGCGGUCAUAAGAAAACCGCCUAGCCGGAGAGUUUGGCCGAUAGCUAAAGCUCCUUUAGGGACAGCACCGUCUUUAAAGACGGGAUGAGGCAUCCUUCCUAAUGGCGAUGGCACAGCGGAACUCUCAAUGAAAGCACCAAUGUCGGUGUCAAAACCGGCGGAUCUCAGGUAGGGGGUCCUGAACUGUGCGUCUAGGCGGAUGGUUACAGGAGACAAGGGACACGAUGUUUUUACCCAGGUUCGGGCCCUCUCGGUGGAGGUAAAACCCUACUCCUGCUUGAUUAAUAUUGAUGAUAUGGGUAGUACAAGAGUAGAUCUACCACGAGAUCAGAGAGGCUAAACCCUAGAGGCUAGCCUAUGGUAUGAUUGUUGUUCGUCCUACGGACUAAAACCCUCCGGUUUAUAUAGACACUAGAGAGGGCUAGGGUUACACAGAGUCGGUUACAAUGGGAGGAGAUCUACAUAUCCGUAUCGCCAAGCUUGCCUUCCACGCCAAGGAAAGUCCCAUCCGGAGACGGGACGAAUUCUUCAAUCUUGUAUCUUCAUAGUCCAGGAGUCCGGCCAAAGGUCAUAGUCCGGCUAUCCGGACACCCCCUAAUCCGGGACUCCCUCAGUGACUUUGGAGUGACUCUUUGUUGCACAUUGAGGGAUUUUUAUAUGAUCUAAUUAUGUUAUCAUUGUUGAGAGAACUUUCACUAGUGAAAGUAUGAACCCUAGGCCUUGUUUCGAAGCAUUGCAUUACUGUUUUAGCUCACUUUUGUUACUAGUUACCUUGCUGUUUUUAUAUUUUCAGAUUACAAAAACCUAUAUCUACCAUCCAUAUUGCACUUGUAUCACCAUCUCUUCGCCGAACUAGUGCACCUAUACAAUUUAUUAUUGUAUUGGGUGUGUUGGGGACACAAGAGACUCUUUCUUAUUUGGUUGCAGGGUUGUUUGAGAGAGACCAUUUUCAUCCUACACCUCCCACGGAUUGAUAAACCUUAGGUCAUCCACUUGAGGGAAAUUUGCUACUGUCCUACAGAACUCUGCGCUUGGAGGCCCAACACGAGUCUACAAGAAGAAGGUUGCGUAGUAGACAUCAGCCUUUGCUACAAAAAGGAUUGGGAUACCUUGUUGCACGUAACACUAUUGUUACUUAUUACUCGUUACAAAUUAUCUUGCUAUCAAACUACUCAUUAUCGAUAAUUUCAGUGCUUGCAAACAAUACCUUUCUGAAAACCGUUUGUCAUUUCCUUCUGCUCCUCGUUGGGUUCGACACUCUUACUUAUCGAAAGGACUACGAUUGAUCCCCUAUAUUUUUGGGUCAUCACACAUCAUCUUCAGAUGUCGUGGUCAUCAGCCCCUAGCAUAGCCCUAGUGUGAUGCCACUAUUCAAUUCCCGCUGGCAAGCGCCGGUACUAACAUCCCCAUAUCUGAUGCUGACAAGGAGGUGGGAGAAGAGCAUCACGAAAAGGAACGCUAAGAGGUCGAUCCUUUAGUAGUGCCUCCAUCAACCACCAUUCUGGAGAGUAGCUCUCUGGCAAGGACCUUCAUUUACUCACUGCAAAAGGGAGGUAAUUUAGUAACUAGAGCCAAUAGAAGAAGAAAGAGGUGAUCAAUUAUCAUUUCUCCAGCAUCAAGGGCACUGUGCUUGGGCGCGCUUGCUCGAUUAACUGGGAGGCGAUCCAACUGCCUCAACUUGACAAUGAUGGGAUGGAUAUGCCAUUUUCUAAAGAUGAGAUCUGACAAGCUAUAAAAUUGACACCGGUUGAUCGCACUCCUGGCCCGGAUGGCUUCUCAGGAUGUUUCACAAGAGUUUUUGGCCCAUAAUCAAAUGAGACCUUCUAUGGUCCCUAAACCAAUUCUAUGUCAUGAAUUGUGAGCACUCAGAGCAUCUAAAUUCUGCAAGUGUUGUGCUGAUCCCAAAGCUUGCAGAAGCAUCUGAAGUGGAACAUUGUCACCCUAUCAGCCAAGUACACUUGUUUGCUAAACUUGCAAAAAUCAUAUCCCUCUGAUUAGUGCCUAAGAUGAGAAAUAUGAUUUCUCUUGCUCAGAGUGCCUUCCUGAAGACUAGGUGCAUUCAUGAAAGUUACCUCUUCAUAAAAAAUGUAGCGCAGAACUUUCAUAGAAAAAAGAAGAAGUGUUUCUAUUUAAGAUAGAUAUUGCAAAAUCUUUUGACUCGAUCUCCUGGCUAGGCUUCAAGACACGCUCGCGUGAUUGGAUAUCUCUUUUGAUGCGAUCCUCAUCCUCCUUUGCUGUCCUAUUGACCAGAGUACGCUAGCAAUAAAUUCAGCAUAAACAGGGACUGAGACAAGGAGAUCCCAUGUCUCCGUUCUUAUUUAUCAUUUCUAUGGACACACUCCACUAAGUACUCCAAGAAGCAGUGGCCAUGGGGCAACUAUAUCCGCUUACCAGAAGAGAGGCAAAAAUGAGACUGAGCUACGCCAACGACGCAAUCCUCUUCUCCAACCCAUGUAGAGAGGAGGUAUCUUGUCUACUAGAGAUUAUGAAGAGAUUUGGGAAGGCCACGGGCUUGAAGAUAAACCCCACUAAGUCCACUGUAGCACACAUCCAAUGCCAAAGCGUAUAUCUAGACCAGGUCUUACUGGGUUUUUCCUGGGAAACAAGUUGGGUUCGGAUACAUCUCCAUCGUAUCUACUUUUCCCAAUGCUUUUCCUCUUGUUUUGGACUAUAAUUUCCAUGAUUUGAAUGAAAUUAACCCCGUACUGACAUUGUUUUUAACAGAACUACCAUUGUGUUGUUUUUGUGCAGAAAUAAAAGUUCUUGGAAUGGAAUGAAACUUUGCGAGGAUUUUUUAUAGCAAUAAAGAGAAUUUCUUAAGCCAAGAGCCACCCGAGGGGGGAACCUGGGUGGGCACAACCCACCAGGGCACGCCUGCGCCCCAGGCGCGCCCCGGUGGGUUGUCCCACCUAGUGGCCCCGAUGACCCUGAAACCAGUGCUACAAAAUCACAUUAUUCCAGAAAAAAUCAAGGAGAAAGAAUUAUCAUGUUUCAUGAGACGGAGCCGCUACCGUCUCCUGUUCUUCAUCUAGAGGCCAGAUCUGGAGUCUGUUUGGGGCUCCGGAGAGGAGGAUCUUCGAUCUUCGCCAUCACCAAUCCUUCUCCAUCGCCAAUUCCAUGAUGCUCCCCACCGGGAAUGAGUAAUUCCUUCGUAGGCUCGCUGGUCGGUGAGAAGUUGGGUGAUAUUCAUCAUGUAAUCGAGUUAGUUUUGUUAGGGCAUUAUCCCUAGUAUCCACUAUGUUCUGAGAUUGAUGGUGCUAUGACUUUACCAUGCUUAAUUCUUGUCACUUUGGGCCCGGGUGCCAUGAUUUCAUAUCUGAACCGUUUAUGUUAUCACCAUUAUAUCCAUGUUCUAGAUCCGAUCUUGCAAGUUAUAGCCACCUACUACGUGUUAUAAUCCGGCAACCCCGUAGUGACAACAGUCGGGCACUCCUGAUGAUGACCGUAGUUUGAGGAGUUCAUGUAUUCAUCAUGUGCUAAUGCUUUGUUCUGGUUGUCUAUUACAAGGAGGCCUUAAUAUCCCUUAGUUUAUAAUAGGACCCCGCUGCCAUGGGAGGGUAGGACAAAAGAUGUCAUGCAAGUUCUUUCCAUAAGCAGGUAUGACUAUUUACGGAAUACAUGCCUACAUUAUAUUUAUGAACUGGAGCUAGUGCCGUAUCGCCCUAGGUUAUAACUGUCUCAUGAUGAGUAUCAUCCAACAAGUCACUGAUCCAAUGCCUACGGAUUUAUCUUAUAUUGUUCUUGCUAAGUUACUACUGUUUCUACUGCUAUCGUUAUUGCUACAAAAUCACUGUUACCGUUACUGUUGCUGCUGCUACCAUUAUCAAAACUAUCAUACUACAUUGCUACUAAUAACUUUGCUGCAGAUAAUUAAUCUCUAGGUGUGGUUGAAUUGACAACUCAGCUGCUAAUACCUUCAAAUAUUCUUUGGUUCCCCUUGUGUCGAAUCUAUAAAUUUGGUUUGAAUACUCUACCCUCGAAAACUGUUGCGAUCCCCUAUACUUGUGGGUUAUUAAGACAUUUUUCUGGUGCCGUUGCUGGGGAACAUAGCUAUAUUUGUUGAGUCACUUGGGAUUAUUAUCAUAUUAUCACUAUGAAGAAUCUGAAGAAUGCAAAGACGAGGGGAGGUAAGGAACUGCCAUCCAGCUCCGCUUUAGAUUCACCUUCUAUUAUAAGUAAACUUGAAACACCACAACAUGCUAUUAAUUCUGAUAUGUUGCAAGUUAUUGAUGAUGCUACUUCUACUAUGAAUGCUACUCAUGAUGAUGCUAGUACCUUGCUUGAUGAUGAUGUGCCACUAGGUGAAUUUCUUGAUGAACAAAUUGCUAGAGUAAGACAACAUGAUAUUAUUGAAUCUGAUGAUGAACUUGAAAGUGAAAAUCUUGAAACACAUACUAGAACUAGCCCUCCUAGAUAUUAAUUUCCAAAGGUACCGGAAGGUUAUACUAUGAGUGAGGAGGCAACUAGAGAUAUUCUUGCUUGUAAGGAUAGAGAUGAUCUAGAGAAAUUAUUAUGCAAGUAUAAAGAAAGAUCUCUGAAUGUUAAAAUGAAAUAUGAUCCUGAGUUUGCUACUUCACCUAUCUUUAUUGAUGAUAAGGAUUAUGAAUUCUCUGUGGUUGAAUCUGAUCCUUUUUCCAUGGUUAUGAAACUGAAACUGUUGUGGCACAUCUUACUAAGUUGAAUGAUAUAGCCACCAUUUUUGCUCAAGAUGAGAAGAUUUGCUAUUAUUAUAUUCUCAAGUUAUUUCGUUCUCAUUAAAGGGUGAUGCUAAGGCUUGGUACAAUACUCUUGCUCCUGGUUGUGUGCAUAGUCCCCAGGAUAUGAUUUAUUACUUCUCUGAAAAAUAUUUUCCUGCUCAUAAGAAACAAGCUGCCUUGCAGGAAAUAUUUAACUUUGCGCAAAUUGAAGAAGAGACUCUCCCACAAGCUUGGGGAGGCUUCUACAAUUGCUUAAUGCUUUGCUUGAUCAUCCUUUGAAGAAAAAUGAAAUACUUGCUAUCUUCUAUAAUGGACUAACCGAUGCUUCUAGGGAUUUCCUAUAUAGUUAUGCUAGUUGUGUCUUCAGGGAACGAAGUAUUGGGCAAGCUGAAGAAUUAUAGAAUAACAUACUGAAAAAUUAUAAUGAUUGGACUCCUCCUGAAACACCUAUUAAACCCACUCGAAAGAAGAGGGGUAUCUUAUAUCUCAGUCCUAAAGAUAUGCAAGAGGCAAAGAAAUCUAUGAAGGAAAAUGGUAUUAAAGCCGAGGAUGUUAAAAAUUUACCACCUAUUGAAGAAAUACAUGGACUUGAAGCACCACCACCACCUAAGGUGGUAGAGGUAAAAUCUUUAAUGAAAUUCAAUGAUAGUGAUGAUCCUCGUAAUAAACAUCCUAGUCAAUGCCUUUAUGAGUUUGAUAAUUACAUUAGAAAGCAAGAUCACUUCAAUGCAAAUGUUAUGAAACAAUUGAAAUACAACUCUGAUAUGAUUGCUUGCUUAAGUGACUUGUUAUUUAGAAUCUCAAAUGAUGUUAGAGGUGUAGGAAAGCAUGCCUCUAUGGUUCAAACUCAAUUGGAACAAGUUGCUAAAUCUCAAAGAGAGGUACUCCCUCCGUCCGGAAAUACUUGUCAUCAAAAUAGAUAAAAGAGGAUGUAUCUAGAUGUAUUUUAGUUCUAGAUACAUUUCUUUUUAUCCAUUUUGAUGACAAGUAUUUUCGGACGGAGGGAGUACUUAAUAAAAUGAACAAUAAUAUAUGUGACUUUUCUGUUAGAGUAGUAACUAGAGGAGGUAAAAUGACUCAUGAACCACUUUAUCCUGAGGGACACCCAAAGAGAAUUGAACAAGACUCUCAAAGAAUUAACAGUGAUGCACCUAGUCCUUCUAAAAGUAAAAAGAAGAAGAAAAACAAUAGGAAUUUGCCCGCCUCUAGUGAACCUGAAAUAGCAAAACCUCCUGAUAAUGAUAAUGAAGUUUCUAUCUCUGAUGCUGAAACUCAAUCUGGUAAGCAACACUCACCUUCUGAUAAUGAAAAAGAUAAUGAUGAGGUUCAUGAAGACACUCAACCAAAUAAUAAAGCACCAGAUAAUGAUGUUGAGAUAGAAUUAGUCGUUGAUCUUGAUGACCCACAACCUAAGAAUAAAAGAUAUGAUAAAAGAGACUUUGUUGCUAGAAAACAUGGAAAGGAAAGAGAACCAUGGGUUCAAAAGCCUAUGCCCUUUCCACCUAAGUCAACUAAAAAGAAAGAUGAUGAAGAAUUUGAACGCUUUGCUGAAAUGCUGAGGUCCGUCUUUCUGCGAACUCGCUUAACUGGUAUCUUAAAAAUGCCUCCUUAUGCAAAGUAUAUGAAAGACAUCAUCACCAAUAAGAGAAAAAUAUCGGAAGCUGAAAUCUCCACUAUGCUUGCUAAUUAUACUUUGAAAUAUGGAGUACCUAAAAAACUUGGAGAUCCGAAAUACCAACUAUACCUUGCUCCAUUAAAAGAAAUUAUGUGAAAACAACUUUAUGUGAUUUGGGAGCUGGUGUUAGUGUUAUGUCUUUCUCUUUAUAUAAAAGACUUGAUUUGAAUAAACUCACACCAACUAAAAUAUCUUUGCAAAUGGCUGACAAAUCAACUGCCAUACCUAUCGGUAUUUGUGAGGAUGUGCCCAUUGUUGUUGCUAAUGUUACUAUUUUGACUGACUUUGUUAUACUUGAGAUGCCCGAGGACGACAACAUGUCGAUUAUCCUUGGUAGACCCUUCUUCAAUACCGCAUGGGCUGUUAUUGAUUGCAAUAAAAGCGAGGUCACUUUUCGUAUCAAUGGUAAUGAGCAUACGGUGCACUUUCCGAAGAAACAAUUCCAAGUGAAUGGUAUUAAUGUUACUAAAAAACCUCCGACAAUCACUAUUGGAAGUUUUCAACUACCUCUACCUACUGUUAAAAAUAAAUAUGAAAUGUUUAUUGUUGCAGACAUUCAUAUCCCCAUUGAGGUAACUUAGUGAUUUACGAAAGUUCUUUGAUUUCAUAAUAAUAAAAAGUGGUUGUUAAUAAGACUUGAUCAACCUUAUUAAUGGAUCAUUUUUGAGAGGUAUGAAGUUGAUGAAUUUAGUGAGCACUACCUUCUGUUCCUACCUUUUGUUUUCUAUAUUUCUUAGUCAAAUAAAAUAAAAUGUCAUGCUUUGUCUGUUUUCUGAGUUUUCCGCGCAAUAAAAAUGACCUGAAAAUAAAAGUUAUCAAAAUGCCCUGGAAUUUUAACACGAUUUUUCUGAAUAUUUCUGAAUUUCUGGUGCAAAUAAUAUCAGAGGGAGGUGCACCAGGUGGGCACAACCCACCUAGGUGUCAGUGGAAACGACACCUAUGAGAUCACUGGAAUCCCUACUACAGUCGACGAGCGCGAGGUUGUGAAAAGAGCGGGUCUAGGAGUCAGCACACAAAUUGUUUACCCAGGUUCGAGCCAUGAGGAUGCAUGAUACCCUAGUCCUGCUUUGGUGUAUAUCUGAGUGUUCUUGUGUUCUUGAACUAGCAGCAGUGUGUGCGUAGUCCAAAAGAGCCGAAUCCCUCUCCAGUAUGCCUCGAGCCUCCUUUUAUAGAAAAAGGGGACGCCAUAGUGGCACACAGGAGGUGGAAAGUGUACAAUGGCUGAGCUUAUCGCCUGGCAUUACAGGAAAAAAUGCAUUAAAUGCACUAUUUAGGUGUCCUCUUGCUUUAUCGGGGACGGCGAGGAAGCUCGUUCCAGUUGUCGCCACUUCACCUUGCUUCGACACGCGUCCAGGCCAAUGAGGCGUGUGGUGCCAUGUAGGCUGGCAGGCUGCUGAGCUGGUGCGGUGGCAGUGUCUUCACGAAGAUCUGCAUGCCACCAAGCAAGUGCUUGCUGAGUCAGUCUAGAGGCUGCACGUCGCCACGCAGAUGCUCACCUAGUUGGUGGGCAGGCAACUACAUGGGAACGGUGGUGGGGUCUUGGCAGAUGUGGGCCUGGCUGCGGCCCCGCGGAUGUCCCCGACAAGCACUACAAAAAAUACACUUCCGUGACGAUACGUGUUUGUCGCAGUACGUCACGUUUUCUAUCAUGCAUGUACCUCCAUGACGAUUUUAUGACAGAAUCAAGAUAGUCAUACCUGUGCUAUCGUAGAAUUUUUCCAUGACAUUACCAAAAUUAUCAUCACGGAAGUGUCCACUUCCAUGAUGAUAAAUCGCGCGUCACAGAAGUGCUUUCAUCAAGGGUGACCGACACGUGGCAUCCACCAUAACGGAACGCCGUUAAGCUAUCGGGUCCGAUUUUGGAUCCGAUAACCCGUUAACAGCGCCGACCAAUGGGGAUUUUCCACGUGUAAAAUCAUCAUUGGCUGGAGGAAACACGUGUCGGCUCACAGUUGGGACAGAUGUCAUCCACUCAUUGGACCCAGGGCGCCUAUGAUACGUCGACAUGUGGCACGGCCAAUAGAGGCCUAUUCCUAUGAAAAGGCCGGCCCGUUUUACUUGGUCAACAGGUGGCGGGUCGGCCCAAGGAAAGCCUGUUAACGACAUGUUCGCAUAUAGCCCAUUUACAGCCCACUAACCAGGGCCCUUUACGACCUCUCCAAAUCAGGCACAGUAGCUUCAUCUGGGCCAUCCAAUAUGAUUCCAGCCCGUUUUAACUUCUGGCCCAUGUAUGGCUCAUGACGUCUUUCGGCCCAUAUGAGGCCCUUUAUAACUCUUGGCCCAUUAACGGCCCGUGCUGAAACUGGCCCGUAACGAACAGUGUAUCACUUUAUACCCAUUAACGGCCCAUUAUUCCAUUGGGCCGUUUGCAGCCCAAGUUAUCUUUUGGCCUUCUCAGGGCCCAUUUAUUCUUGGGCUCAUUUCCAGCAUUCGGUUGCUUACGGCCCGUUACUGUCAUUUUCUGCUUGUGGGCCAAAUUCAGCCUGUCAUCACAGUCGGCCCGUUUGUGGCCUGUUACACUACAAGAAAUAUGUCAACUUGUGACCUUCUGUCAGUGACCCUGGAAGAAUUGGUCAUAGAUCUAUGACCAUUUCAGACCAAUUGGUCAAAAGCUGUUCGGGGGGCUCCAAACCCUAAACCAUUGCGACCAUUUUGGUCAGAAAGGUCGUAAUUUCCUUACACGAAAUGGUCAUAAAGCAAACAGCGCUAGUCCGCUGCCUUAUUUCUAGUUGUUAACGACCAAUAUAGAUGGUCAUAGCCUUGUAAAUUGUGGUGGGUUGCGAUGACUAGGCGCCAUCUCAUCAGUUUUGCCUAUGUGUCAUGUCCAUGUGGCAGUUUUUGCCCUAGGUUGUGAAGCAACCUAUAUUUCUGCAAUUCCCAAAAUUCCCAAACAAAUCUCAUAAAUUCUUUGGGUCAUAUCUUCGUCAAAUAUGUAAAAACCUUCCUUUCCUAGUUCAAAAAUAAUUCAAAAAUAUUCAUUUUCCUAUUCUGUUCAGAACAACAGUUUGUGAAGGAAGUACCACUUUGGCAUGUCCAAAUAGUAUCCAUUUUCUACAGUGCUUUCCUAUGCCCAAAUAACCAUCCUCCACCAAAUGCCAGCUCAAUCCAUUCAUUAUUUUGAGCCGAGCUUCAACAUUCGUAUUUAUGUCCAGUGUGGUGGUUUGCAAAGCAAGUACCACCUAGGCUCCUCCUUUUGAGCUGAAAAUUUGUGAAGACGGUCUUCUUAGUAACUGAUCAUCCUCAGCCAAAACUCACGGCCAUUAGCCAUGUACAUUUCCCGUACCGCUAAUCAAACACUUGGCUGCUUAUUCAUGUUUAAGCAUCGAUCGGUCUCCUCGUGAGAAUAUUAUGUUGUGAUUUUCUUCCUAGCACCUACCUGGGGAGUUCCCAAACCACUAGACAUGCCUAGGCCGCCCAGAACACAUGGCAACGCCACGGUCACGCGGUGACCACGCGGCGGGCAUGCGAGCUUACGCGCUCUAGAGUUGGGGCCCUCGGCCACCGUCGAAACCUCGAUGUCUCUCCAUCAAACCAUGUAUUUCUGAUUAAAUAGGUACUUAUGUAACUAGAAAUGAUUUUUGCAAAAAAUAAAUAGCAAACUAUGAGGCAGCUAGAGUUCAAAUUUGACCCGGUUCCACCUGAAUCAGCGGAAAUUUGUCUUUUUCACGAGAGGUGGAUCAAAACUUUUUACACCCAACCAUUUGGUCAAUUGUGCAUUAAAUAUGUCCUAGUAUUUUAGAAAAAUGAUUUGGUCCAAAUUUGCAACAAUUAUUUGGUAGUUCCUUCACAAAAAAACCUCCUUUCGGGCACUUGAAAAAUGAAAAAUGGUUUUUUCGUCCAAAGAAAAUGAAAACUUCCUUAGGCAACAUUGUUUGCCAUUCCAAUAUGCACCCUUGUGCACAAUAUGAGAUCAUUUUAACAAACUAUGCCACGAAUGUGGCCAUAAGUUUGAUCAUUUGCCUUGAAAGUCAUGAAUCUUGAGAGAUGAUAGCUCAUUUCUGAGAACACUUUUUUAAAAUAUUUGCCGUAUUACAAGUUUGUUAUUUUUCCUGGGAACUUGGCCACAUAUAAUGACACAAUGUGAAGGUUUCCCAAUUUUUUGAUUUUUUUGAAUUUUUUAUGCCCGUUUCAAAAUGCGGUCAAAACGGCGGGAAUGACCGUUCCUAGCUAGUUGUUGAAUCUUGGAAUUUUUUUGGUGUUUCUCUGAUUAAAUAGAUACUUAUGUACCUAGAAAUGAUUUUUGGAAAAAAUAAAUAGCAAACUAUGAGACAGCUGCAGUUCAAAUUUGACCCGCUUCCAGCUGAAUCGGCGGAAAUUUGUCUUUUUCACGAGAGGUGGAUCAAAACUUUUUACACCCAACCAUUUGGUCAAUUAUGCAUUAAAUAUGUCCUAGUAUUUUAUAAAAAUGAUUUGGUCCAAUUUUGCAACAAUUAUUUGGUAGUUCCUUCACAAAAAAACCUCCUUUCGGGCACUCGGAAAAUGAAAAAUGGUUUUUUCGUCCAAAGAAAAUGAAAAGUUCCUUAGGCAACAUUGUUUGCCAUUCUAAUAUGCACCCUUGUGCACAAUAUGAGAUCAUUUGAACAAACUAUGCCAUGAAUGUGGCCAUAAGAUUGAUCAUUUGGCUUGAAAGCCAUUGAUCUCCACACGUGAUAGCUCGUUUCUGAGAACACUUUUUUGAAAUAAUUGCCGUAUUACAAGUUUGUUAUUUUUACUGGGAACUUGGCCACAUAUAAUGACACAAUGUGAAGGUUUCCCAAUUUUUUGAUUUUUUUUGAAUUUUUUAUGCCCGUUUCAAAAUGCGGUCAAAACAGCGGGAAUGACCGUUCCUAGCUAGUUGUUGAAUCUUGGAAUUUUUUUGGUGUUUCUCUGAUUAAAUAGGUACUUAUGUACCUAGAAAUGAUUUUUGGAAAAAAUAAAUAGCAAACUAUGAGGCAGCUGCAGUUGAAAUUUGACCCGCUUCCAACUGAAUCAGCGGAAAUUUGUCUUUUUCACGAGAGUUGGAUCAAAACUUUUUACACCCAACCAUUUGGUCAAUUGUGCAUUAAAUAUGUCCUAGUAUUUUAUAAAAAUGAUUUGGUCCAAUUUUGCAACAAUUAUUUGGUAGUUCCUUCACAAAAAAACCUCCUUUCGGGCACUCGGAAAAUGAAAAAUGGUUUUUUCGUCCAAAGAAAAUGAAAACUUCCUUAGGCAACAUUGUUUGCCAUUCUAAUAUGCACCCUUAUGCACAAUAUGAGAUCAUUUGAACAAACUAUGCCAUGAAUGUGGCCAUAAGAUUGAUCAUUUGGCUUGAAAGCCAUUGAUCUCCACACGUGAUAGCUCGUUGCUGAGAACACUUUUUUAAAAUAAUUGCCGUAUUACAAGUUUGUUAUUUUUCCUGGGAACUUGGCCACAUAUAAUGACACAAUGCAAAGGUUUCCCAAUUUUUUGAUUUUUUUUGAAUUUUUUAUGCCCGUUUCAAAAUGCGGUCAAAACAGCGGGAAUGACCGUUCCUAGCUAGUUGUUGAAUCUUGGAAUUUUUUUGGUGUUUCUCUGAUUAAAUAGGUACUUAUGUACCUAGAAAUGAUUUUUGGAAAAAAUAAAUAGCAAACUAUGAGGCAGCUGCAGUUCAAAUUUGACCCGCUUCCAGCUGAAUCGGCGAAAAUUUGUCUUUUUCACGAGAGGUGGAUCAAAACUUUUUACACCCAACCAUUUGGUCAAUUGUGAAUUAAAUAUGUCCUAGUAUUUUAGAAAAAUGAUUUGGUCCAAUUUUGCAACAAUUAUUUGGUAGUUCCUUCACAAAAAAACCUCCUUUCGGGCACUUGAAAAAUGAAAAAUGGUUUUUUCGUCCAAAGAAAAUGAAAACUUCCUUAGGCAACAUUGUUUGCCAUUCCAAUAUGCACCCUUGUGCACAAUAUGAGAUCAUUUUAACAAACUAUGCCACGAAUGUGGCCAUAAGUUUGAUCAUUUGCCUUGAAAGCCAUGAAUCUUGGGAGAUGAUAGCUCAUUUCUGAGAACACUUUUUUAAAAUAUUUGCCGUUUCACAAGUUUGUUAUUUUUCCUGGGAACUUGGCCACAUAUAAUGACACAAUGUGAAGGUUUCCCAAUUUUUUGAUUUUUUUGAAUUUUUUAUGCCCGUUUCAAAAUGCGGUCAAAACGGCGGGAAUGACCGUUCCUAGCUAGUUGUUGAAUCUUGGAAUUUUUUUGGUGUUUCUCUGAUUAAGUAGAUACUUAUGUACCUAGACAUGAUUUUUGGAAAAAAUAAAUAGCAAACUAUGAGACAGCUGCAGUUCAAAUUUGACCCGCUUCCAGCUGAAUCGGCGGAAAUUUGUCUUUUUCACGAGAGGUGGAUCAAAACUUUUUACACCCAACCAUUUGGUCAAUUAUGCAUUAAAUAUGUCCUAGUAUUUUAUAAAAAUGAUUUGGUCCAAUUUUGCAACAAUUAUUUGGUAGUUCCUUCACAAAAAAACCUCCUUUCGGGCACUCGGAAAAUGAAAAAUGGUUUUUUCGUCCAAAGAAAAUGAAAACUUCCUUAGGCAACAUUGUUUGCCAUUCUAAUAUGCACCCUUGUGCACAAUAUGAGAUCAUUUGAACAAACUAUGCCAUGAAUGUGGCCAUAAGAUUGAUCAUUUGGCUUGAAAGCCAUUGAUCUCCACACGUGAUAGCUCGUUUCUGAGAACACUUUUUUGAAAUAAUUGCCGUAUUACAAGUUUGUUAUUUUUACUGGGAACUUGGCCACAUAUAAUGACACAAUGUGAAGGUUUCCCAAUUUUUUGAUUUUUUUUGAAUUUUUUAUGCCCGUUUCAAAAUGCGGUCAAAACAGCGGGAAUGACCGUUCCUAGCUAGUUGUUGAAUCUUGGAAUUUUUUUGGUGUUUCUCUGAUUAAAUAGGUACUUAUGUACCUAGAAAUGAUUUUUGGAAAAAAUAAAUAGCAAACUAUGAGGCAGCUGCAGUUCAAAUUUGACCCGCUUCCAACUGAAUCAGCGGAAAUUUGUCUUUUUCACGAGAGUUGGAUCAAAACUUUUUACACCCAACCAUUUGGUCAAUUGUGCAUUAAAUAUGUCCUAGUAUUUUAUAAAAAUGAUUUGGUCCAAUUUUGCAACAAUUAUUUGGUAGUUCCUUCACAAAAAAACCUCCUUUCGGGCACUCGGAAAAUGAAAAAUGGUUUUUUCGUCCAAAGAAAAUGAAAACUUCCUUAGGCAACAUUGUUUGCCAUUCUAAUAUGCACCCUUGUGCACAAUAUGAGAUCAUUUGAACAAACUAUGCCAUGAAUGUGGCCAUAAGAUUGAUCAUUUGGCUUGAAAGCCAUUGAUCUCCACACGUGAUAGCUCGUUGCUGAGAACACUUUUUUAAAAUAAUUGCCGUAUUACAAGUUUGUUAUUUUUCCUGGGAACUUGGCCACAUAUAAUGACACAAUGCAAAGGUUUCCCAAUUUUUUGAUUUUUUUUGAAUUUUUUAUGCCCGUUUCAAAAUGCGGUGAAAACAGCGGGAAUGACCGUUCCUAGCUAGUUGUUGAAUCUUGGAAUUUUUUUGGUGUUUCUCUGAUUAAAUAGGUACUUAUGUACCUAGAAAUGAUUUUUGGGAAAAAUAAAUAGCAAACUAUGAGGCAGCUGCAGUUCAAAUUUGACCCGCUUCCAGCUGAAUCGGCGGAAAUUUGUCUUUUUCACGAGAGGUGGAUCAAAACUUUUUACACCCAACCAUUUGGCAAUUGUGCAUUAAAUAUGUCCUAGUAUUUUAGAAAAAUGAUUUGGUCCAAUUUUGCAUUUAAUAUAUUAUAGGUCCUUAAAAAAAACUCAUUUUGGACACUCGAAAAAUGAAAAAAAUGAUUUAAGAGAACUCAUUUCUCAUAACUCUUUAAAAAAAUAUUUGUCUUAUUUCAAUUUGUGAUUAUUCCUGAAAGCUAUAGUCAAAUUUGCUGACACAAUGAGAAGUUUUUUCUCUUCAUAUUUUAAGGUCAUAAUAAAAUAGCUAACAUGAUUUAGCAACUUCUUUUAGUCAAUUAUGACCAAUUUAAAUGGUCAAAAUAUCAUACUUGUAUACUACGUUCUGAUUGGUCCAAAGGCCUCUCACGCGGAUCAUGGAUAAACCACCGUCGGAUCCUCCUGGAUCCAACGGCCCGCACCUCACCCUCUCACGGUCUCACCCACCCACCGCACACCACUCCACUCUCUCCCUGCGUAGCGAACCCUAGUGCUCUCACCCUCUCCCUCUCCCCCCCGCCGCCGCCCCCAACCUCACUCCCUCCCUCUGGAUCUCGACGCGCCACCGCCCCCACCCCACUCCUCCGGUGUUCCCCCCACACGGUCACCGCUCGGACCUCCCCAUUGUGCCUCCACCUCCUCCCUCCGCUCGCGGUCGCCUCUCCCGAUAGAUCUGGUGCCAGGGUUCGCGGCCCUAGCGGACGGGGGAGCGGAGACAUGCGGGGGGAUGGGUUAACGCAUGCCUGGUGGGCGGAGGAGAGGAUGGAGAAUCCGCGUGGCGGCCUCGACGAGCAGAUCGAGCCAUGGUGGCGGCGGAGGAAGCCAUGGCGUCGGCGCAGAUCGACGUGAGGAUGGACGUGGCGCUGCUCCACUGCCGGGCCUGCCUCCUCCCCCCCAAGCCCCCGUGUUCAAGGUAUGGCAUGCACCGACGUGGCGCUGGAUUCCCAUCUCCUCGCGGGAUCCAUCUGUCUGCGUAGGUGGCCUACAGGGAGCGGGACAUCCGCCGUCUGCGCGUCGGAUCCCGCGGAUCCGCGAGGCUGACCCCAACGAUGCUGGCGCCGGUGCUGCGACGACGUCAACGUCGCGCGCUCCUGCUAGUGGGAUGCCUGACUGGCUGCUCGCUUGCAUCAACUUGGACGCCGAAGGCCCCGGGAGAGGAGGAGUCUUCUCGCUCGGGGUUGGGGGAUGACGCGGUUUCAGCGACGACGAGAUGCUUCUCGCCCAUCUUCUCCUCACUGACCAAAUCCAGCGCAGUGCAGCGCAGGGGUAAGCACAACCGCCUCCUCUGCUCUCUCACCGUUUUCCCGCCCCUCUUCUCCCUCGACGGUGUUCUCAUGCGCCACAGCAGCUUACUGACACUGUCGUUUUUUCUGUCUUUCUUUUGUUGGCAGCAGGGGAAGAAGGAGGAGGAGGAGUUCAGCACGGGGCCCCUCUCCAUUCUCAUGCUCAGCGUCAAGAACAACGCCCUGGUUGGUUUGGUUUGGUCGACUUCUUGCCUCUGUUGAUUGAGAUAUUAGCUUAGAGAGGGCAUAUUUUCUGCAGUAGUAGUACUUACUGACUUACUGUCUGUCUGCAUAUCCGUGUGGACUGAACACCUGACCUUCUGGAGUGCUGGUGUUCUCCGUUGUGCGUGCACUUGUUAAAACACACCAAUCGACUUAUUCGCCUGUGAUCUCGUCGUGCAAGUGAAUACUAGCUUCCCUCUUAGUGCUACAAUGCUAAGCGCACCAUCGCAUAAAUGUGUCAGUAAUUAACCACUGUUUUGGUGCAGCCUUUCGUCAAAUGCCUUUGGUAAUAGUGUGGCACUGCAAAGUUGAAUGCACCAUUGCAUACAAUUGAGGGCUAGUCAUUUGGAGAUUAAUCCUGACCUCGAUAUCUCGAUAGGUCAGGCCGGAUAAUAAUUAACUAAUACUACUAAAUGACAGCCAUUUGGGUACAUUCAGGCGAGCUAAAGCUUUGACUAACAUCGGUCUUUCCAAUUCAGGCGAGUUAGCCUGUUAGCAAUAAGAGCAGCUGCCCAUCCUCUCCCCACUGGGAAUUUAAUCUUGCUAUACUGAAGUCGAGCUCUUUGAUUAUGCAUUUUUAGUGUAGAUUCUUUCAUGUUAACUAAUUGUAACAAGUUCUAAUUAGGUCACGGAAUAGUUUGCUUGGUCCUUCAUAUCUAAAGCUUGCAUGUACUGUAGAAGCUCUACAUUAUGCUAAUACUUGCUUGUGUAACAUCUUUCAUGGCAUACUUCUAAAUGGACAAGUACGUGCGACGUCCAGCGUCAAUGAUGAUGCGGACCAUAUGUUCAAGUGUUCAACUGCAGCCCAAUCCAUUGCAUCGACACAAAGGUAUGUACUCCGUCUUGCUGAACAGAUAUGGGCCUGAUGCUUGAUGUCCUUAUGCCUGAUGCAUGUAUCAUGUGACAUACACAUAAUUAACUUUGACAUAGUUGCUCUGUUACAGCAGAUGGCAAGAUGAAUAGCUAGUGUCUAUUUAAUUCCAUCAUGCACCUGGUAGUUUAAUAGGUACUAUUGAUUGAAUAUGAAUAUUAUUCCAUAUACUCAAAUGGAACUUCGAUCUGCUGUAACUUUGAAUGAUGGUUUUUAAACCUUGUCGUGUAUGUGAAACAUUCCUUGCUCGUUUGCUGCUAAGUUUGUCAUAUGUGCCAACUCAAUUCCCAAUUUUGAUCAAUAGCCAUAUUCUGGAUAAGUAGAAUGAUCUGGUUAAUAAUAAUAAUAAGUAGAAUGAUAAUAUACUGGUGUAUCUUUACUUUUUAUUUUAAAAGUACUCUGUAUUCCAUCAGUACUUACCUUUUGUUCUCUUUUGAAUGCUCAGAUGUUUUGCAUCAGCCUGUCAUUGAUUGCUAAGGGAGAAGCGGGACUUGGAGAAGAAAUCUUUCCAUUAAGCAGAUUACAUGUUUGGUUGUUGUGAAGUACUAGAUAGGCUAGUUCUAUUUUUUUCAUGAUCCUGGAGUAUUUCAGCAGUGCCAUGCAAAUGCAGUAGCGUUUGUUUUUUGUUUGUAAAAACUUAGUUAGCCCGCAGUCAGUUAGUAGUAGCUUAGCCAGCCGGCCUCAAAUAGUAUUGCUGGAAUGAAUGGUUGUAAUAUAAUAACGUUGCAUGUUGCUUUGAAAAUAUAUCAGAACUGGGUGAUGUGUUGUAAUGUCAAUGGCAUAAUAUUUUUUUUGGAUUGGAUCAAUUUUUUCGGAACUGGGCUAGGACCAAGUUAUAUUGGACAAUUAUUUUUGAGGGAAAAACAUGAGAGGCCCAACAAUGAAAUGGCCUAGAAAAGUACAUGAUUAAAAAGAAAAUCUGCUGUUAAAAGGGCCAUGCAAAGAAAUCAAUAAGGCUGAAUUGUUGGGCCAGACCCAGGUAGCUAAUAAAAGCACAGGAAAAAAUACAUUAAAAAGGUCGAAUUAAUGGGCUCGGCCCAUGUAGAACACCAAAUCGGACCGGGCUGAAUCUUGUGCCACAUCAGCUUGCCACGCUGGAUGCCUACGUGGCCUGGGGAGGUUGCUAGUGACCAAAACGCCACAGUAGGAAUAUUUUGGUCGUAAACGUCUUUGACCAUUCCAGAAGAAAGGUCGCUAUAGUCAGUUUACGACGGCCAGCUUUUGACCUUCUGUUUUUGGUCACAAAAAGGUCAUAAAUGGAAAUUUGUGACCUUUCAGUGACCAAUAGUGGUGGUCAUAAGUUGACAUAUUCCUUGUAGUGUUAAUACGUUGGGCCAUUUUCAUGUCAAAAAAAACUGUUGGGCUGUUUUCAUAGAGUUAUCAAAUACGGCCUAUUAACGACCCGCUAUGGUUCACGAAUAGUACGACCCAUGAUUGGUGAAAUGAUGAUACGCCCCGUAGAAGGCCCAUGGAUCCUAUGGCCCGUAGAAGGCCCAUGAAUCGUACGACCAGUAGUAGGCCCAUGGAUCGUACGGCCUGUAGAAGGCCCAUGGAUCCUACGGCCCGUAUAAAAGGCCCAUGGAUCAUACGGCCCGUAGAAGUCCCAUGGAUCAUACGGCCCGCAGGAGGCCCAUGGUUACAACAGUCCGUGUGUUGCCAUGAUUAUUUUGGCCUAGUUACCAAAAAUAGGCUAUUGUGGCCACUAGAAAAACACAGGAAAAGAACUGCAGUGACUACAAGCAAACAACUAAACAAGACAAUAAGGAAAUAAAUAAGCAAGCAAUUAAUGCUAGCCUAUUACCGCUAUUACACAUAUUACAUCCACUGGGCAUCAAAGUUCGCCACCAGUGCAAAUAUAGGGAACAAAGCAGCAUAUUACAUACACUGGCCAUCAAAAUUGGCCACCAGUGCAAAUAAACGCGGCAGCAAAACAAGAGCAUAACUAAAACAACUUCAGAAGAACUCAAGAAACAUUAUCCUUGGUAUCCACCAUGCUGGCAAUAAGCUUAGCAAGCUUAUUAGCUUUGUCCUGUUUGGCGCUAAAAUCCUCCAACGCUUGCUAUUGCACCAGAAAGUAUGCAUCUGAAUGCUCCAGGGACUUCCACAGUCCUUUCGCUUCUUGUCACAGCAUAGUUGAUCGAUGUCUUUCAGCUUGUAGUUGAGACUCAAGAAACCGAACUGAUACAGACCGUGAGUUUGAAUAGCUUGUGCAAGCGGUAGUGGCCAGUAACUCGAACACUAAACCAAGACAGGACUUUGGGGUUGUCUCACUGUCUUCAAGAUAGUCUUCCUUAGCUGUUUUAUCAGCUUUGUUAGAGACCAACAAGGAUGUGUCACUAUCCUGAACCUUAUCUGCAUUACUUCCUUUACUAUUUCUUAAUAAGGCACUCCUCCCCAAUAUUCUGUUAGCAUUCUAAAAGAAGAAACAAGCAGACACAUAACAGGUUUAGCAUGUACUAGUAUAUGAAACUCAUUUCGGUGAACCAGUUCAUUAGUAAGGUGGACAGGAUUAAACUACCAAGUAUUCCAUUGCCAAGUACUAGUACAUAAUAAAAUCAUCAAACAAACAUAUAUCUAUGUCCUAUGGUCACUGCAUUGUCUUGCCAAAUCAAAGUAGAGACACAGUUCAAAUCAUACCAGUUCAAGACAAAGCAACAGUGAAAGAAUACAAAGUGUGGGAAACUACACGGCACAACAAGAUUUCAGAUGGGUACCACGAGUCUACAUGUACAACAACACUAUUGGCUCUGUUGUGAUGCUAGUAAUGUGCAUGAUAUGAGAAGUCAACUGUAUAUAGAAUUGAAAUUGGAAUCAACAGAGCUAUUGAUAACAGCAAACCUGUUAAAGAAACAUGUGUGAACAUACCUGCUGUGUCAUUGGAGUUUCGGUUGGAUCCUUAAAUUUAAAAAUAAGUUUGUAUGAGUAAAUACAGUGAGACAAGAGCAAAGCAGUAUGCACGAUACCAAUCAUAGUUAAAAAAGGUGCGCCUAAGCGGGCGCUUAAGUGUGCCUAGGCUCUAGGCGUUGGCAAAACGGAUUGCGCAUAACUAUGCUUAAUCUGUGCAUAAAUGCGCAUAAGCAUGCGCUUUGUUCAGUAAAGCGCAAGGCGGUGGCAAAACGCACAAUUAAUGCCUAGCGCUUUUUUGAACUAUGAUAGCAAUGGAAUCUUAAAUUAGAACAGUUGUUCUCCAGGUUUAGGCACUUGUUCUACAUGAACAGAGUACAGUAAGAUGCAAGAAUAUAGUACUUAAAAAUAGAAAAUGAGCUCAUAGACCUUACCACAUUCUUGGUUCGGGACCAGUACAGAACAAGGCGUUCCCAAUCAUCGUCCAGUAAAUGCGUCUCAGGAGAACGUAAGGGAAUUUGAUGAGUUUCUUUGCCGGUGAAGUAUGUUUUCUUCAGGUAAUUCCGAUACUGCCACCAAGCAUUCUUGAAGAUAGCAGAGGUAUUAGCACAGGUUACCUCAUCCCGACUUUCCAAAUCGGUCCUUCUCUAUAGAGAAAAAUGGGAAAAUUUGUUGUAUUAUAACCAUCAUGGAGGUAGAAUGUAUGGGACAAAGCAAAGUAAUUGCCAUGAAUAACAUUACUUACACAUAACUCCUAGACAAACACCUGCAACUGGCAUUUUCCUUUAUCUUCAGUAUAAUAUUUCCAAGAUGGGAAGAUACACACAUACGAUUUAACAACAUCAAAUGCGAUAGAUGCUAAACUACGACUAGCUGGUUGUGCUUCCUCCACAGGAAUAGGCGUACUAACUGGUGGAGUUGGGGUUCGCCAUGGUAGUACUGGCCCUUUGGGUACUGGAGCUGCCGUACUAACUGCUCUUGUUUGGGAGCUCUGUGGUGGAGAUGGUGCUGUGUCAACAGGAACUGGGUUACUAUCUGCUGGGGUUGGGGUUAGAUUGGGUGAAGCUGGUUCUCUGUCCAUCGCAUUAGGGGUACAAUCUGUGAGAGUUUGGGUUAUGUGUGGUAGGGCUGGUUCUCGUGCAUGUACAACCGGGGUGCUAUCUCCACCAAGAGGUAGCACUGUUUUAUUUGAAGACCGUGUUUUUAGUCCGCUAGAUACUGACAUCAGCCGCUCCAAUUCAAAUGGCUGAUAAACAGGAAACAUAGUUGAAUGUACAGACAUUGUAUGAGAGACAGAUGCAAUAGAUAGUGUGGAAAAAGAGGGCAUGAAAUAGUUGAUAUGUAUAUUGUUUAACUAAAAUGGAUAGCAUGACAUAAUUUCACAUAUAGGAUGUCUAUCUAAACUGGAUAGCAUAGCAUAACAUAAUUCGAAGAUAUGAUGAAUAACUAAACAAGAUCACAUGACAUAAUUCACCAUACAUGCUAUCUAAUUAAUCAGGAUCGCAUCAUUUAAUUCACAUAUGUGAUUUAUAUGCUAAACAGAGGGCAUUCGAUAUGAUGUCUGAACUAAGAACAUGGUGUUGAAUAUUGUGUAAAUGAUGUCUAAACUAUGCAAUGCAAGACACCAUAUGCAUGAUAUGAGCAGUAUAACCAUGCCAAGUUAGAGCAUACACGUCGGUGUGGGAAUAGAACUGGUCAUCUAUCUCUCAAUCCAUCUCCGAGGAGCUAUCGGCACCCAACAAGAGAUCUGCUUCGAGAGGUAGCAUUGUCUGCUCUGAAGGCCUUGUUUUCACUCCAGAUUUUUCCAUCUCCCACCCAAAUGGUUGAUUCACAGGAAGAGUAGUUUAAUGUACAAACAUUAUCAACAAAUGGAAAUGUAAUGAAGAAAAGGAUGGGCAAGAUAUCAUUCAAAUAUAUGAUGCCUGGUUAAACCGGAUGGCAUUGCACAUUUCACAUAUAUUAUGGCUGGCUAAAAGACAUGAGACAUCAUAAUUCCCAUAUAUGAUAUAGAAACUAAACAGGUGGCAUUAUAGAACAUGUCUAAACUAAGUAGAUGACAUAUAUGAUGUCAAAAGUAGGCACUACAAGGCAACAUAUGCAUGAUAUGACUAACAUCAUCAUGGAAAGGUAGAGCAAACACCUUGGGAGGGUAAAUAGGAGUGGUCAGCGGUGUCUGAAUCCGCCUCAGAACAAAUAUCUUCCUCUGGAUUACAAUCUGGAGAGGGGUGGGGAGGGUUUGCCAUUGAACCCACCAUGGAGCGAUGUCUGCAUGACAUUGUAUUGCCGCGCAAAACUCUUCUCUUUUUCUCUACAUGUUCAGCAUGACUUUGUACAAUAUCUGACAUGCAUACAAAAAAAAUAUGGUGAGAUUAUGUAAGGAGAGCAUGCAGAAAUUUAGAGUGAUGGUAACAACCAGUGGAUGGAUCCAAAAAAUGAUAGCAGGCUGAUGAUUGCUUUAAUUUAAUAAAAAGACAGAUGAUGAUUGCUUUACUAUUUGUUUCCCACCCAAGAUGAACAACAUAGGCAUACCCUAGGUGAACCAGAUAUUAGAUAGAGAUACUAUUCAUUGCUUCCUUGAUAUGUGCCCCACAACUAAUUUAGAACUCAAGUUUGAACAUUAAUUUGGACCUGACUUGGAGUCCAAGAGGUGAACAAGACGAUAAAGUAGCAGGUAAUUUUAAACAAUGCAUAACAUAAGCAGAAACAAAAGAGUGUGACCUCUCUUGUGGACCCAUGUACUCCUCAGGCUCAUCUGCUGAGUCGAUGAUGGUGAUGCCAUUGUAGUGGGUGCCGGUGGCAGGGAAGGAGAUCUGAGGUGGCGAAAGACGGUCAAGAGUUGUCAUGUCUGGUUUUGUGGAUGCUUCUGUCGAUGAAGCAGCUCAGGUGAGGUGGACGACGUCGCGGCGGGAUCAGGACAAACCACACAAAGUUCCCUUCUACACCUACCUGUAACUGAAGUAAUUCUGUAAGGGCUCAUUUGGCUUGCAUGAUUCUAAAAACGCAGGGAUAGGAAAAACACCAGAAUAGGAUAGGAAUGCACAUGGUAAACAAAGCAUUUGUAAACAGAGGAUUUUUGUCAACUUGGGUGUUUGGUUUACAGGAAUUGGAAGAGUAGAGGAAUGCAGAGAAACAUGGCCAAAAUAAAGUGAAACCAUAUGAAAGCGUGUAUAGUUAGAAUGUUAUUCUGCCACUAAUGCACUUGGUCUUGUUUUCAUGCAUAGGAUUUUGAAAAGUAAGUCCAGGUGGAUGUUUUGCUUCAUUCCUUUCAACAAAAUGCAUGAAUAAUUGAAUAGUAGAGGGCCAUUGGAAAAUUCCCUAUUGCUAUGUUUUGUCGUUGAACCAAAAUAGCCCUAAUGGAUCGACAUGAAUGUAUAGUAAUAAGUGAUGCAACAAGUGUACAACCUCUUUGCCGUAGCCGUGUCGACCUCAGCAUUAUUGGGUUGGUCGCUGAAGCAGUUGAGGCAGAGGUGGCUGUCGGAGGUGUGGAGGAAGAUCUGAGGAAUCUGUAGACGGCGUCCAGGGCACUGCCUGUUGUGAUGGAUCAUUCUAUCGUUGGAGUAGCUCCGGUAAGCCGUAAGACGUCAAGGUUGAAGCAGCACAAGACAGACAUCGUCAAUCUUAAGUGGGAUUCUAAUAGCAUCUCCAAUAGAUGAUGUAAAAUAUAUGUAAAAUUUACAUCACCAAAAACCACCUGACUACAACAGAUGAGGUAAAAACUGUUGACUCUGAACUUAACUGUGGAAUCUGAAUGUUACUAUCGAAACUGAACGCAAUGGUAGCAGAGAGGCACUUGACAUGUAGUUUAGGGAGGGCCUGCAGUUCAUCUUCAACCUGCACCCCCCUGAGCCGCCAGCCACCACCGGCCGAACCGCCGGCCCCAGCGCUGCCUCGCCGCCCCGAAACAACUCCCCACCACCGGUCUACCGCCGCCCAGCCGCCCCGGACAGCCCGCUAGGCCCCCCGCCCCCACCCUGAACCCUAAGAUAGAUAGUGGGGUACCUCUUCGGUGAUCCCCAGUCCCCGCUGCAGGUGGUUCUUCCUUAACUCCGGCGAGCCCCCCCCUGAAAAUUGACUGACCCAAAAGUCAAUUCAGUCGACUGAAGUGUAGCUAAAUGGGAGCAGAGCAGUAGCACGAGCGAGGGGGAGAGCAGCAGCAGCAGUGCAAGCGAGCGAGCGAGAGCCGUAGCAGUAGCAGCUCGGCGAGCGAGCAAUCGAGCGAGAGAUGGAGCAGCAGCAGCAGCGCGAGCGACCGAGCAAGAGCCGGAGCAGUAGCAGUAGAUCCGGCUGGUAUGGACGCCGCAACCGAAGGGGCCUCACACUAGGGGAGAGCCGCCGUGGAGAUGUCGCCCGCGGCGCCGGCUUCAAGGUCGCCGCCCCAUGGGGGUGCGGGAUGGAGCACCAUCGGUUCCAGGAGGACGAGUUAAGGAGAAGGUGCAAUGUGAUGAGUGUACAACCUCUUUGGUGGCACCGAGUAGGUCUUGGCUUCGUCCGAGGAGUCGGUGAGGAUGCUGCGGUUCCGGUGGAGCAGGUUAAUUAAGGCGGUGCUGUGGGGAUGGAGCAGCCGCGAUAGACGAGGCAAUCGUCAGAGCAGCUCCUUGGAGGUGGAGGAUGGGGCGGCUGAACCGGCGGGACGACGGAUCCUCAUCCGGGAGGUGGACGAGGGACGUCGAGCUGUUGCGAUGGACGACGUCGUCGAGGAAGAGGCUCCGGCUAGGCAGCGGUAAGGUGGCGGACGGAGGAGGGUGGGGUUUUGUAGCUCGAGCGGAUAGGUUAUGGCGGCUGUCGGUGUCAAAACCGGCGGAUCUCGGGUAGGGGGUCCCGAACUGUGCAUCUAGGCGGAUGGUAACAGGAGACAAGGGACACGAUGUUUUACCCAGGUUCGGGCCCUCUUGAUGGAGGUAAAACCCUACGUCCUGCUUGAUUGAUAUUGAUAUGUGGGUAUUACAAGAGUAGAUCUACCACGAGAUCAAGGAGGCUAAACCCUAGAAGCUAGCCUAUGGUAUGAUUGUUGUUCGUCCUACGGACUAAAGCCAUCCGGUUUAUAUAGACACCAGAGAGGGCUAGGGUUACACAGAGUCGGUUACAAUGGUAGGAGAUCUACAUAUCCGUAUCGCCAAGCUUGCCUUCCACGCCAAGGAAAGUCCCAUCCGGACACGGGACGAAGUCUUCAAUCUUGUAUCUUCAUAGUCUUGGAGUCCGGCCGAUGAUGAUAGUCCGGCUAUCCGGACACCCCCUAGUCCAGGACUCCCUCAGUAGCCCCUGAACCAGGCUUCAAUGACGAUGAGUCCGGCGCGCAUGUUGUCUUCGGCAUUGCAAGGCGGGUUCCUUCUCCAAAUAAGUUAUAGAAGAUUGUGAACACCAGGAUAGUGUCCGGCUCUGCAAAAUAAAUUCCACAUACCACCGUAGAGAGAAUAAUAUUUACACAAGUUCAAUCUGCUGACGUAUUUCGUGGCGUGACGUCACACCACUAGCAAGCCUUUACUCGAAUCGUUUUUAUUGUACCACCUCAGAGUGUUUAGCGAAGCGGUUUCCUUGGCACGUCUUGUCGAAGCAGAGAUCGUGUUCCCCUUAUUCUGGGAUUCUCAUUAAUACGGACGUGGGUAACCCAACCGCGCCCGUUGCCACGCCUCCUCCAUCAAAGGCGGGUUCCAAUCGGUCACGAGGACGGCUCUUGGUAUUCUCCCUCUUUAUAAUGAGACCAAGGCCCGUUCUUUUUCUUCAAUCCUCAAUCGAAUCCGCCCCUCGCCCCGAGUUCCAACACCCAGGGCUCCAGAUUCUGGUACUUUCGACCUUCGACAAUGUACGGCUCCGACCUACGAGGCCGGUGGAUGCCCUCCUCUGUCACGGAAGAGGACGUGCUAAAGCUGAGAGACGCAAGGUACUUAACCUACGAGAUUUCACAUAGGUUGCCUACCCGAGGGCAAGUUAUUCCUACUCCCGAGCCCGGCGAGAGCGUCAUGUUCGUGUCUCACCUCCGUCGGGGUUUAGGCUUCCCGAUGGAUCCCUUCGUGAGGGGGCUCAUGUUUUACUAUGGGCUGGAAUUCCAUGACUUGGCUCCGGAGUCCAUCCUCCACAUCUCAUCAUUCAUUGUCGUCUGCGAAGCCUUCCUCCGCAUUACCCCUCACUUCGGCUUGUGGCUCAAAACCUUCAACGUGGAGCCGAAGAUGAUUGAGGGGCGUCAGGCAGAGUGCGGCGGGGUGGUUAUAAGCAAGAGGGCCGAUGCUCCAUGGCCCGAGGGCUCUUUUCAGGAGGAGCUCGUCUCGUGGCAACAGGAGUGGUUUUAUAUCACCGCUCCCAGGGGCAGCAGGCAGAGCCCGCCGCCCGUCUUUCGCCCGGGCCCUCCACAACGGCUGACAUCAUGGGUCAACAAGGGGCUUGACUGGGGGCCGUCUAAAGACGUACCCCUGUUGCAGGACCGUAUUCGAGGCCUCCAAGAAAGGGAGAUCAAUCUGGUCGUAGUGGCACAGGUUAUGCUGAUUCGGCGCCUUCUACCCUGCAAACGCCGCCCCCUCCGCCUGUGGGAAUUUAAUCCGGAGGGGCCACGAGCUCUCCAACACUUCAUGGGUUUAACACCUGUGGAGAUGUUCAAACUGUUCUCCGGAUCGCAAGAGAUGCGUCCGGGCUUGACUGAGGACGCUGGCCUAAGCUGCAAUCGCCCGGAUACUCAAGUAAGUAGCCCUGUGUCCGGACAUACUGUCCAUUUAUUUAUCAUGGGUUUUUCCUUUUAACCAGCUAUCCCUUGGACAGGAGUGUAUAGCACAAGCAAAACUGAUACGGUGUCCGGCCCCCCUCCCCGAGACCACGCCGUAUCCCGUGCUAAUCAAAAUGUUGGAGGUUGCACCUUCGGAGGAGGGCGAAGGGGAGCACAGGGAAGCUACCACCUCUGCCAAGGAGGCUUUCAGUAAGGGGGGAAUCGAGAAUCCCUCCUUCCAGGGGGAGAAGAGGACCGCUUUCGAAGACCCGGAGGCCAAGGCCUCCAAGCGGGGAAAGAAAUCCGCACCGGAAGGUCCUGUGCAGGGGAGAGCCCGCAUAGUCUCGCCAAAGGAAUCAGCCCUCCAGCGAGCCGUAAAUAAAAAGGGGGAAUUUUGUAAUAGGGGACACCCCUACUUUAUUUCUAAGGGUAACCGAAGUUUUCACCUUGUAGUUCGGAUCUCAGCCCAUCUCAGCAGAGCUCAUCUUCGGGGGACCUUCGUCCGGAGAUGAUGGAGAGCGAGACGCCUCCAUCUGCCGCCCCGCCGGGCGGGGCGAACGACCCUGAGGUGUCGUCACGGAGGGUCUCCCCGAGUCCGGCGGGGCUGGGGAGUUCGGCACCCACUGGAGUACGGCCGGUGGAGCUGCAGGAUUUGCUCAAGAGGGCGUCUAUCUCAGAAGAUCACCGCACAUUAAUGAGUAUGGUGAUUGAAAGGAUCUCAUCCGCUGAGAGCAGGUUGUAUGAGGCUGUCGGAAGUUUGCUGACGGGGUUUGAGGUACGCAAAAAAUGACAUACCUUUUGACAGUUUUGCACAUGGAGUGCACCCUGUAUAGAUAGUAGCCCCUGACACUUGGUAUGCUGUCGAAAGCGACAGCGUGCCGAGGAUCAUAAUCUUAGUUAUAGGAUGUCGCCUUUCCUAUGCAGGUGGCGGAACGUUCGGUGGCCAGCCGGACUGAUGGAGUUGCCGAGCUGAAGAGGCAACUCGACGUUGCGGAUGCGGACAUAGUCAAUAAACGACUUAACGAGUCACAUGGUAGGUUGUUGCUCCGUGGUCACCUAGUAAGGGAGCUGAUGCCCGUUCCUUACAAUUUGUAUGCUUGAUGCAGAUGGUGCCGCUGCUGUGGAAGACCUUCGAGCGGAGCUUGCUCGAGCCAAGGAGCAAGCCAGGAAAAGUGAUGCGACUACCUCGAAGGCAGCGGAAGAGCUAAAAGCCGAAAAGGCUGCUCACUGACGAAGCAGGGAGGAGAUGGCUGGAAUGGCCGUGAAAUUAAAAGAUGCUACCGACCGCUAUGAGGUUCUUGAAAGAGAACGCCGAGCAGAGCAAGAGGACCUGAAGAAGGCCGCCGCCGAAGCCAAGGAUGCCCGUAGUGUGAUGCGGGCUAUGAAGGAGGAACUGCGUCAGGCCGGAGAUAUUGCGGCUGGAAAGCCCUUUCUGCUGCGUAGGAAGUUCACAGAUCCGAAGUAUGCUCAGUUGGGCCAAUUGUGUGGUGCAGAGGAUCCUUAUCUGGAUUUGGCGGCGUGUGCGGCGGACGCGGUCGUGCACUUCCGAAGCCAGAAGGAUCACGAAAUGGAAGAGCUUUUUUGGUCUCAAUUCCAUAGUCCGGAGCGUCCACUUCUGUUGACUGACCGGCUGGCUGAGUGGGCUGAGUUGAAUAGAUUGUCCGGACUUGCCAUGACAGGUGGGGUCGCUCAUCUGUGGCCGGAAAGGCCCAAGCCUGGGAGUUAUUUCGGCUUGUUGCAGCGAUUCCUUGGGGCGGUGCCGCAUAUCGAGGUGAUGAAGCGGUCGGCAUGCAUAGAAGGUGCACGGAUGGCUCUCGCCCGUGUUAAGACAUACUGGGCAGAGAUGGAUGCCACCGCUGUUGCAUCCCGGGGUUCGGACAAAGGCCGAUUACCCGCCGAGCACUAUUUUGAGGAAGUCCUGUAGGGCGCUCGUUUAAUAAAUUCGCAGUGCUCGAAAGAUGUUAUGUUCAAAUGACGUAUAUGAUUUGUGAGAUCAUGUUUAUAAUGCAAUAGCUUUUUAUACUUGUGCGUUCAAGUAUUGAACUAUCUCCUAUGCGGCCGUGUAUGUAUAACCUGAAAGAUGGCAGUCUUUGGCUUCAGCCCCCACACACAUGGUGCGGGGGUGUUUGCAAAAAGAAAAGCGCUUUUUCACACUUAAUCCAACGUCUUGGUCCUUUGAAGGAGGUGAUAGCGUAGCAAACUAGGCAACCGGACUAUAAUGCUUUAUCACUUUCACUUAGCCAUAGGAGCUCGAAGGUGGGGCUACUAUAUAGCCCCUAGAGGCACCGCGCUUCUCCGAACUCGGGGUGCGUAUGUGCCUGACCGGGAAGUGGUCCUUCGUCAAAGCGGAGGAAUUCUAAACAAUCCAGUAGUCGAUCGAGUGGUUGACCAGUCUCUCGCUAUAUCAUGACAGUCAGUUUUCGGCUUUCUCUACUGAGGUGCUCGGCCGGCCGAACCGUGGCACAAUCGUAGUAGUUCUCCUGGUGCCGUGUUAGACGAUGGUGCGGAACGUAAGGCAACAAAACACAGGAGCCGGGCAAACCCAACAUUUGACCAAAGACAUGAUUCGGAGCUGAUGCAUAUAAGGCCUAACUCGAGGCGCCGAACACUCCCUGAGGCGUUCGGUCUUUAUGAUACCGGGCAUAACAAUGCCCUAAGCCCCUAGUGUCCAGGUACAGGCGGGAACUUCUGAUGCGGCCGAUGCCAAAACACCAGCCUCCUUCUCGGUUAUGGUAAGAAACCGGGGGAUGUGUAUCAACAAGAGACAGUAAGAAAGGUUUACGCAGGGUCUUAAUCUGAAAAGAAUCCUUGUAACGGGUCCCUGCUGCAUGUCUGCGCCUGUGUCUCCGUUGUGCUGUAUCCUGGACGGGUGUAGCACGUGUUGGGGAACGUAGUAAUUUCAAAAAUUUCCUCCGCACACGCAAGAUCAUGGUGAUGACAUAGCAACGAGAAGGGAGAGUGUAGUCCACGUACCCUCGUAGACCGAAAGCGGAAGCAUUAUGACAACACGGUUGAUGUAGUCGUACGUCUUCACGAUCCGACCGAUCCAAGUACCGAACGUACGGCACCUCCGAGUUCAGCACACGUUCAGCUCGAUGACGAUCCUCGGACUCCGAUCCAGCAAAGUGUCGGGAAUGAGUUCCGUCAGCACGACGGCGUGGUGACGAUGAUGAUGUUCUACCGGCGCAGGGCUUCGCCUAAACUCCGCGACGAUAUGACCGAGGUGGAAUAUGGUGGAGGCGGGCACCGCACACGGCUAAGGAAUGAUCCGUAGAUCAACUUGUGUGUCUAUGGGGUGCCCCCUGCCCCCGUAUAUAAAGGAGUGGAGGAGGGGAGGGCCGGCCCUCUCUAUGGCGCGCCCUAGGGGAGUCCUACUCCCACCGGGAGUAGGAU